UUAUUUAUGGACAUUCGUAGAACUCUUAGCUGCUUCAGUCCCAGCAGGGCGUUAAGUCGACAGCCUUGUGUGUUAGACUGACUCGCCACCCGAAAUCCAGACAGCUCCUGGAGAUAAAUUAGCUUCUCGAGUCCACGAGGUAGAUACUGAAGAGGACAAGAUCCGAGGUCCAAGAUGAUCAACUUCUUCAAACUAGUAAUUGAUGGAUGUAGUUUGGUGCACCUCCUCAGAACAAGUAUUUGGAGAUUACGAAGCUUUUGAAUUGAAGAUGGGAGCUCAAUAUUGCCUGCAACUCCGCUUAAGUUGAGAUAUGCAAGGCGUUUAAGUGAAGAGAUCUUAUCCAAUAGAUCCUCAACAUUAAUUCGAUCAAGCUUACAGUAUGAGAAAUCCAGCAGUCUCAGUGACAUGAGCGAUUUCACAUUCCAAAGGGAAACUGGAGUGCUUGAUUGCAGUAUCAAUGCCCUGAGCCUUGAACUUUUUUUCAGGGAUUUUGGAUCCAUGUCACUGUUGAAACCGAACCAUCGCGAGUCUUGUGUCAAUUUCUGCCUGCCUUGUUCAUCAAAGCUGCAAAAAGCCUCAUCUUUUGCAAUCUGAAUGGUCAUAUCCCUGACCAGAUCGUGCAUCUUGCAACUAUAGACCCUGCCAUCAUAGCCUCUUCGAUGCACAACUUCAACCAAGCAUCUGCUUACUAGCUCUGAAAGAUAAUCAAAGCCUAAUUCCGUAGCAGUCCGAUUGUCCCUGCCCCAGAUGAGUCCUUCUCCCACCCACCAAUGUACCAUCUGUUCACCACUUAUCUCAAAGUCGUCGGGAUAAACAGAGAAACACAAGAGGCACUGCUUUAGAUGUGUGGGGAGUUCAUCAUAGCUCAGUCGUAGAGAAGCCACCACCGAAUUGUUCUCUCUUUCGGUUGUCAAAUAUACAUGAAAAUCAUCAUUGAUUUUAUUCCACUCACUAAGGGAAUGGACUUUUGGAGCAAGCAAGCCUCCUAUUGUCUUGAUUGCCAGCGGUAGUCCCCCGCAUUUCUUCAAGAUCUCUCUACCUUUUUUUUCAAACUCCUUAUUGGGGCAUUUUCCCUUGCUCGUUAAAAAUGCAUGCUUGCAGAGUAAUGACCAACUCUCCUCUUCAUUUAAAAUUUUUGGGCGAUGAAUUCUUGACUCAUCAACUCCCAUACUGUUGACAACGGUUUCAUUUCUAGAUGUGAUGAUAGCGAAGCAUCUUUUUUCAGUCGGAUAUAAAUUCUUCCACCAAUCUAGAUUCAUUCUCCACACAUCAUCCAUUACAAUGAGACAGGUCUUGUCACUGAGCCUCUGUUGAAUUUUGUGCAGCAAAUGGCUUUCUUCAAUUCCCGAUUCAUCCUCUCCCAGCUGUUUCAACAUGGCCCUCAUGACUAGUUCCUCGCUGAAAUUCUGAGAAACUGGCACCCAUAUCCUCUUCUCAAAGUAUGCAACCAUCUCUCUAUCAUUGAAUAUCUUUUGGGCAAUGGUGGUUUUGCCUAAACCACCCAUACCCACAAUACCGAUUUGCUGAAGCUUCUCAUUACUGCUAAGGAUCCACCCUUUAAUCUUUUCCAAGUCCUUCUCCAAACCGAUUAUUUCUGAUGGUUCCCGGUCCUCUGGGGAAUAUUUAAAUAUUUGGUAUGAUGAAUUAUUAGGCCCCUGCUGGAUGAUUGGCUGUUCUGCUCUUCCAUACACCCCCAAGCUAGACUCCAUUUUCUCAAUCCGUGAAUUGAUAUGCUUCAAAUCCUUGCCUGUUUGGUAUAUGAAAAACAAGUCACGAAGUGAGAACCUGUGGCAAAACCCAUCUUUCCGAUAUUCAUCUCUAAUUUGGCAAUCCGUCAUUAUGUCAUCAGCUUCAUAAAUUAUUUUUCUCAGGUUAGGCAAGAUCUUCUGCAUGAACUCCCCCCGAGUUUUCUGCUUAUCAGUGCAGGAGAUGAAGGCAGUCAUUAGCUCAAGCUUUGUCUUCAUUGCCUCAAGCUGAUCUUUAAAAUCAAGUGCGUACUGAGCUUGAGUCAGCAAAGCAGAAAACACUUUCUCUAUCAAUGUCCCAAUCAUCGCCUCUGUCGCUUUCGACGCCGCCAUAUCCUCGGGCAAAUGUUCCCUGUUAAUUUCAUGUUCAUUGUCAUCUCAGUAAAAUAUACAUCUUAUGAGCUCGUAUGGGCUUCUGCUACAACCAUACAAUCAUGACACACAUAAAGUACAGAUGGCAGAAAAGAGACUAGCACUUUCAGUACUAGGAGGGACAAGACAAAAUAUAUAAUGGAUUCAUCUCACUUCCAUGGGACUUGACAGAACAUCUAUCAGAAUAGUGAAGUCACCCAACAACAUUGAUCAGAGUAGAAUUGUGUCAUAUGCGUGAAUCGACAGAAUGAUACUAGUCAGAACAUAAUGAUGUAUCGAACAAAAAACUGAGAAUUGAAGCUAAAAUCUAGCUCACUUUCUUAGGACUCAGGUCUUAGGUUCGAGCUUCAAUAGAACAAGUUCCGAAUAAAUUCUCUUGGUAACCAAGGAUCAAAUACAAUAAUUAAUUGCUAAGGUCGCUCCAGUAGUAAAAGAGACUUUCCUAAGACUCAGGUCUUAGCUUCAAGCUUCAAUAGAACAAGUUACGAAUUGGUUCUCUGCGUAACCAAGGAUCCAAUGCAAUAAUUUAUUGAAAAUAUAUUUAUCAUAACUUUAAAAUUAAGUGAUACGACGGCAAAUAUUAACUUGAUAAAAGAUCAUCAUCAACCAUCAAAUUCUAUAAACAAGUUUAGAAAUUUUCAUGUUUAAAUUCACAUCAAUCAGAGAUUUAGCAAUGGCAUGGGUGAAUCAUAAAAGGGUUUUAAGCAGAAGCACUUACUGGAAUCCUGAAAGUGUGUGUCUAUAUAUAGCUUGACUGGGCUGAACAGAGAGUAUGGUAGAACCUGAAACCCAAAAAACAAAUUGAGUUUUAACAGACAGAGUAGAUUGUUCAGCUGAAUAUAACAGAGUACCAUGUAAACAAAUUAUUUUUAUUUUUACUUGUAAUUCCUAGCUGGCUGUUCAACGUUUCAGUUCGCUUAAUCACUCACUAGCUCCUAUCUGGCUCUGCUAAUUUGAUUUAUAUUGCCGAUAUUUAUUAUAUAGGAGAAGAGAUGCCAGAAUUGAUCAAAUAACAAGCCACCUGCGCUUUGUAUUUUGAUGGUACAAGAAAAGAAGGUGAAAAAUAUUUUGACUGAUUAAUUAAAGUUGAAUUGGUUAAAGUUGAAAGCUGUUGGAAUUUGGAGAGAAGAAGCAUUUUUAUCCUCUUCUCUUCACAACAAUCAAAUUUUGUUUAAUUAAAUAUCAUAACAAUUAUAUUUUUAAUUUUAACAAAUUAUAAAUUUAUGAUUUGAAUGAGACUACAUAGUUGCAUAAGAAUUUUAAGAAAAAAUAUUAUCUUAGUAGUUUACACAUACGGCCAGAUUUUGGUCCGAUUUUGCUGUUUAAGCCUUCAAAUGAUCUUUAUUUAUUUAUUUAAGAAAUUUUAAGAAUGUUUUCAUUGAUUUUUUUUAUAUCUUCUGUCUGGUUUUUGGAAUUAAGGAUACUUUGUUUCAUUUAUUUUAUUUUUAAUUUAUGGUAGGUUAGUAGUAAUCUGAUAUUAAAAAUUCGUGUUAUUGCAUUCUUGAAUGUUUUCAUUGAUGGUUUAUCUAAAGGUAAUCCAGGUAGCUCAAUUUGUGGUGGUGUUUUUUGAGAUUACACGGGAUCUUUUUAGGUGCUUUUGGUCUUUCUUUAGGCAUUAACACUGCCUACUUUGAUGAAAUUAUGGCAGCUACGUUAGCUACUGAAUUUACUCAUGACAAGGGUUGGUAUUGUCUUUGGCUAGAAAGCGACUCUAUGCUAGUCAUUCAUCUUUCUUCCAAUCCUUCGCUCAAUCCUCCAUGGGGUAUCCGUAACAGAUGGUUGAAUUGUUGUAAUCUCAUCAAUUCUAUGGCGUUUAGAUUCUCUCAUAUCUUCUGAGAAACUAUGUGGCUGAUCAUUUAACUAACUUGGGUCUUAUUUGUGAUUCUCUCACUUGGUGGCAGACUCCGCCUUUAGAGAUUUUGGAGUUACUUUCUCAUGAUGCCAAUGAGUUUCUAAAAUAUCAUUUUAUAUGGUUACUGUUGAGAAUCAAAUAAAACGGCAUUGAAUGAAGCUUUCAAAGACAGAAUCCGCACUUGUCAAAGGGAUAAUCUGCACUUGUCAAAGACAAGAUCCGCGUCGAACGGAUUGACACAUUUCCUUCCGUAUUCACAUAUGUAAUCUUUGAAAAAAUGUAGCAUCUGCAUCUAUAAAUAACUCUUAGUGUAUAAUGUUUUAUUUAAGAAAUGAAAACACGUUUCUUCAUGGUAUCAGAGCCAUGAAUACGCUCAAGUUUCUUCAAGUUCCGCUGCUCUGUUUGUAACAAAAACAGAGGAAACCAAAUUCCUCCCACAACCAUUUUUCCCACCAUUUUCUUCCUUAAACCCAUUCCUACCAUUACAGAUAUCCAUGCCGAUCAAGAAACAAGCCACCCAUACGUAAAAAACUUGAGUUUACAAAUUUAUCAACAAUCUCAUCAAUUUUUCAAGAGUGUGUUCCUCAAAAACCAAGAAUACCAUCAAAUUUCUCAGUUUCUAGUGAGGAAACUGUAAAAAUUUCGCAUUUAAACACAUUUCCACGCGCUCACACGCGCCACUCGAAGCCACGACCAGUCAACCACGCGCCUCUAUCAUCAUUCACGCGCUCUCACGCGCUCCAGAGGUUGAAGAAGACGUCAACCGACAUGUCGUUUUUUAUCUCCGGUGUGCAGCAGUAACAAAAUGACGCGUCGUUUUUUAUUAUAUUAAAACCGAUAUGUCGUUUUUAAAUUAGAAAUAAAACGACGUGACGUUUAGUCUCCAGAAGUGCAGCAGGAUUAAAACGACAUGUCGUUUAUAUUCCACCAUAACCGACAUGUCGGUUUGUCAAGCAGUGGCCAAACGACUUGUCGUUUUUUUUUUUUAUCUAAAAAGGUUAUUUUUUUUCUUCUUUCAAUCUAGACGAAAAAAAAAACAAAAAAAAAAGAAAAAAAAAGAAAAAAGAAAAAAAACAAAAAAAAAUGGAGAAAACUCCAACUGAAUCUAGUCCUGUUGUCAUUCAAUCUGUUCAAUCUGAUGGAGUAUUUAAUGCUGGAAUUAUCCUCACUGAGACAAACUACGAUGUUUGGUCUCAAAUAAUGGAGAUGCAUCUUGCAGAAAGAGAAAAACUCUCAUAUAUUCGUAGCAGCACAAAGCCAUCUGAGGAAUCUUCAAAGGAAUAUGAGAAAUGGUAUAGUGAGAACCAAAAAGUAAAAAGAUGGUUACUCAUAUCCAUGUCUCCGGAGAUCAUGAAGCGAUAUUUACGAAUUCCUACAGCCUACGAAAUCUGGGAUGCAGUAUCAAAAGCCUUCUAUGGUGGAAGCGAUGAAUUACAAGUUUUCACUCUAAACCAGAAGGCAUUCUCUACCAAGCAAAAUGGACAACCACUCUAUAAAUUUUAUGGAGAAUUGAUCGAAAUAUUUCGAGAACUUGAUCACCGAGAUAAAGUGGUCAUGAAGGAUCCAGAAAAUAUUGUAAUAUACAGAAGAUCUGUUGAAAGAUUGAGAGUGCACAUUUUUCUUGUUGGGCUAGAUGAAGAAUUUGACCAAGUUCGUGGAGAAAUUCUACGAAAAGAAAUUAUCUAAGACUUAGAAGAAUGUUAUUCUCUGAUCCGAAGAGAAGAUGUACGGUAAAGCAAACUAAACAAGAAGGUCGACUCAGAAACGUCUGCUAUGAUAGCACGAUAGCACCCUCAAAGGAAGUUUGUUGACAAGUCAUCACUCCAUUGCACUCAUUGUAGAAAGAAGGGGCAUACGAAAGAACAAUGUUUUGAAAUCAUUGGAUAUCCUGACUGGUGGGAUACUCGAAAGAAGAACACCAAGCAUGGAUAAAAAACUGUAGUAGCUGAAUCCACAUCCACUACAGAUCUUAGAAAAGAAUCUUCAGUGCAAAUCGCAACCCCUGUCAGUCCAGGUAAGGCCCUUAAAACUCUUACACCUGUUAUUAAUAGUACAUGGAUAAUUGAUUCUGGGGCAACUGAUCAUAUGACUUUUGAUUCUCAACAAGUUUCUCAAUUGAAACCAUCUUCACAAAAACAUAUUUCCACUGCAAAUGGAACCACAACCUCAGUUAUUGGGGAAGGACCUUUACGACUCACAAAUGAAUUAAAUUUAGACUCUGUGUUAAUUAUUCCAUCUUUAGAUUAUAAUCUUUUAUCUGUGUCUCAAUUAGCCACUUACUUAUCAUGUGUUGUAAUUUUUUGGCCUGAUCAUUGUGUGUUUAAGGGCAUCCAAACGAAGCAAACGAUUGGUUAUGGUAUUAGACGAGGCAACUUGUACUACUUGGAGAUGUCAUCAACAAACACCGGAAAGCUAAGCCCCGCACUAGUCGUAGAUAGUUCUAUAAAAAAAGGGAAAUAAGAAAUUUGGUUAUGGCAUAGACGUUUAGGGCAUGUGUCAUUUGGUUACUUAAAAAAAUUAUUUCCUAGUUUUGUUUUUGAAAUUUGAUGUUUGUAACUUUAAAUGUGAUGUUUGUGAACUUUCAAAAAGCCAUCGAACUACUUUUCCAUUGUCCUUAAAUAAAAAUCCAGUUCCUUUCAUGGUAGUACAUUAUGAUGUAUGGGGGCCAUCUAAAGUUUCUACAAUUGGAGGUGCUCGUUGGUUUGUUACAUUUAUUGAUGAUUGUAGCAGAAUGACAUGGAUUUUUCUAAUGAAAUCAAAAGACGAAGUAAACUCUUUAUUUCAAAGAUUUCAUAAGAUGGUGACAACUCAAUUUUAGACACAAAUUCGAGUUCUACAUACUGAUAAUGGAGGCGAGUAUAUAAGCACAGCAAUUCAACAGUUUCUGAAAUCACAAGGAUCUGUCCAUCAAACCACUUGUGUGGGGACACCCGAACAAAAUGGCGUUGCUGAACGAAAAAAUAGACAUUUACUAGAAAUUGUUCGAGCAUCACUAAUCCAAGCCCACAUGCCACUAUCUUAUUGGGGAGAAGCACUGGCAUCCGCAGCAUACUUGAUCAAUCGAACACCUUCAAGCUCCCUUGGAUUCCAGACUCCUUUCCAAGUUCUAAAUGAUGCAAUUAUGUCACCAAAUGUGUCGAAUCUGCUCCCACAUGUGUUUGGCUAUGUUGCCUUCGUUCAUUUGCCGCAACAAGGUAAAUUAUCUUCUCGAGCACUACGUUGUGUGUUUGUAGGGUAUGCCUUACAUCAAAAGGGAUACCGAUGCUAUCAUCCACCAUCAAGAAAAAUAUACAUCACCAAAUGUGUCGAAUCUGCUCCCACAUGUGUUUGGCUAUGUUGCCUUCGUUCAUUUGCCGCAACAAGGUAAAUUAUCUUCUCGAGCACUACGUUGUGUGUUUGUAGGGUAUGCCUUACAUCAAAAGGGAUGCCGAUGCUAUCAUCCACCAUCAAGAAAAAUAUACAUCACCAUGGAUGUCGUUUUUCAUGAAGAUAUCAUGUACUACUUGUUAGAGUCUGAAUUUCAGGGGGAGUAUAAUGAAGAGGAAAUUCAUACUCUUACAUAUCUUCCACCGGAAGAAAGUCAAUCUUCCAUUGAGAUAGUAAACUUUCAAGAUACUGGAAAAGCAAAUGGUGAUGAUUCUCAGGCUGAGAUAAGUGAAGACAUAUUUGGGGAGCACAAUAACUCAAACACAACUGCAAUCGAGAAUGAGUCACACGAAGAAAUACCUAACCAAUCGUCUGCAGAGGAUGUUCCUACCACAAGUCCAAUUAGAAGAAUUCUUGCCCAGCGUCAAAAUAGAGGUAUCCCUAAACCCACAUAUGAGCCUGACUUCUCUAGUAGAGUCAAAUACCCUAUGAGUCAUUUUGUGUCUAACCAUCGCUUGUCAGAAUCAAAUCAGUCAUUUGUGAAUCAAUUAUCUGCUGUAUAUAUUCCUAACAGUGUGCAGGAAGCUUUAAAAGACCCAAGGUGGAAAGCGGCUAUGAAUGAUGAAAUGAGAUCUCUUUAGAAAAAUCAAACAUGGGAACUAGUUGAUCUUCUACCAAGAAAAAAACCAGUGGGUUGUCGAUGGAUUUACACUAUAAAGUACAAAGCAGAUGGCUCUAUUGAAUGAUACAAAGCAAGACUCGUAGUUAAGGGUUACACCCAAACCUACGGGAUUGAUUAUACUGAUACGUUUGCACAGGUAGCAAAAAUUAAUACUAUUCGUAUCUUAUUAUCAUUAGCAGUCAACUUGGAUUGGCCAGUGCAACAGUUCGAUGUAAAGAAUGCUUUCCUUCAUGGAGAUCUGUUUGAAGAAAUUUAUAUGGAUCUGCCACCAGGAUGCAGUGGACCAGAACGACUCAAUCAGAAAGUAUGCAAAUUGAAGAAAUCAUUGUAUGGGUUGAAGCAAUCCCCAAGAGCAUGGUUCGGGAAAUUCACAAAGGCUAUGGUUCAUUUUGGGUAUAACCAAAGCAAUUCAGAUCAUACCUUAUUCAUUAAAAAACGACAAGGUAAAAUCAUUGCCCUUAUUGUCUAUGUGGAUGAUAUGGUAGUUAUAGGCAACGACGAGGAAGAAACAAAGGCUCUUCAGAAGUACUUGUCAAGAGAGUUUGAGAUGAAGGAUUUAGGUGCCUUAAAAUACUUUCUUGGAAUUGAGGUUUCUCGAUCUAAGGGAGGAAUCUUUCUGUCUCAAAGGAAAUAUGCCUUAGAUCUAUUGCACGAAACGGGAAUGACAGCUUGUCAGCCUAUUGACACCCCAAUAGAAGAAGGACUGAAGUUUUGUAUUACCUCAGACCAAGUUCCAGUAGACAAAGGAAGAUAUCAAAGGUUGAUUGGAAGAUUGAUGUACUUGUCCGACACAAGGCCAGAUCUUGCUUAUGCAUUGAGUGUUGUCAGUCAGUUUAUGCAUAAUCCCGGAGAACAACACAUGAAAGCAGUAAUGCGGAUCCUAAGGUACCUGAAGACAAAUCCAGGAAAAGGAAUCUUAUUUUCCAAAAAUGAAGAUUACAGCAACAUAGAAGUUUAUACUGAUGCAGAUUGGGCCGGGUCAGUUAGUGAUAGACGCUCUACUUCAGGAUACUUUACCUUUGUGGGAGGCAACCUUGUCACAAGGAGAAGCAAGAAACAACAUGUCGUUGCCCGUUCGAGCGCUGAAGUAGAAUAUCGAGGCAUGGCCCUUGGGGUAUGUGAAGGGCUAUGGAUAAGUUUUAUCUUAAACGAUUUGGGCUAUCCAUCACAACAACCGAUACAACUAUACUGUGACAACAAAGCUGCACGAGAUAUUGCUCAUAAUCCAGUUCAACACGAUCGAACAAAACAUGUCGAGGUAGAUAGAUUUUUCAUCAAGGAGAAAUUAGAUGAAAAAAUCUUAGAACUGCCGAAAAUUCGAUCAGAAGAUCAACUUGCAGAUAUUUUAACGAAGGCCAUUUCAAGCAGGGCAUUUACAAAAUUCCUAGACAAAUUGGGUAUGCAAGACAUCUAUGCGCCAGCUUGAGGGGGAGUGUUGAGAAUCAAAUAAAACGGCAUUGAAUGAAGUUUUCAAAGACAUAAUCCGCACUUGUCAAAGGGAUAAUCUGCACUUGUCAAAGACAAGAUCCGCGCCGAACGGAUUGACACAUUUCCUUCCGUAUUCACAUAUGUAACUUUGAAAAAAUGUAGCCUCUGCAUCUAUAAAUAACUCUCAGUGUAUAAUUUUUUAUUUAAGAAAUGAAAACACGUUUCUUCAGUUACCUCUUUUGAUUUAACUUCAUACUUUUUUCUUUUUUCUACUUUAACUUCUCACAAAUUUUAAGGGAUAAAACUCAUUAUGUCCCCUCUAGACAGUUGUAAUUCCUUUCUUUUAUUUUUUUGAUUAAUUAAUUCAGUUUAUAAAAAAAAAUUGACCAGUAUUUUUACUAUAUGUAUUAACAUUAAAUCACAUAUUAUUAAUGAAAUAAAAAUGAUAUGACAGAUCCAAUUUUAGUAGGUUUACUGAGUUUAAUUAAAGGCGAAUUAAACAAAUUAAUGUGUAAAAAUAAAACAAACAAGAGGAUUUUUACAUGGUUCGGGAUUCAAAUCCCUACGUCCAUGGAGUCACAUUUAGAUAUCAAAUAAUUUACUAGGUUUAAGAGAUUACAAACUAUUGAAAUCUCACACAGUAUGAGACACCCUCUAGUGAUUGUGGCCACCUUGUCAUAGUAACCAAGUUAACACCUCGUGUGCACCACAUGUCUUUUGCUUCCUCUCCCGAGCAAGACUUCUUAGUCAAUGGUAUGCCACCUCUUCGUAAAAUCCCUCUGUUGUGAACAUGUGACCCCUUCUAUUAAAAAGGCCAGAGACAAUGUCUCCCAAAUCAAAGAAUGAUCACAAGGUUGUGGCCUCUGAAGUAGAAUCCUUUUAGUAAAAUAUAUGAAUGACUCACCUUUAUGUAGUGACAGGUGAAUCACGUGUAAUGAAGAGUCUAAAACUUUUUCCCUUGAUAACUCCCAAAGCCUUUAGAUAUAUAAACAACUCUUCAUGAUAGUAUAGCAAUAUUGUCUCUUCAAUAUCUCUUUAUCAUUCGCUUUAAAUCAAAACAAUUUAAUCUCAAUCUUCAAUGAUCACGCCAAUUGUAAUUUCCAUCUCAAGGAAUAUUGCUUGCUUGAUCUCGAUAGAUAACUUCUAUGUAGAGAUUGAUUUAUCUUCAACUACUUUGAUCUUGAUGUCCCCAUGUGAAGUAAUACCCAUGUCUUGUAUCUUCUCUAUGAUUCACGCCAACUUCAUCAUACAAUUUUGCCUUAUGCGUUUUCCUCAUGCUAAAAUAUCUCUGUAUAGACUUACGUGGACCUCACAUACAUAUAAUAUGCAAAAUCCUAAUUUUCCUGUAUUUGCCGUUGUUCCAAGGCACUGUUGUAAUACUUGAGAUAAACUAAAUUACGUAGGUAUUAAAAUAUUAAUGUAGACUCAAUGAUGUGUACAAUGAGGAUGGCAACGUACAAAUAUUAAAUUGAUGUUGUAUAGAAAUACCAACAUCCAUACAAUGAAAUUCCUUUUUUUUUCCCCUAAAAACUAAAUAUUGAAACUGAUUCAAUUUCAAUCACCUGCCCUAAAAGUUGCAUGACAGCUAGAACAGAUCCAAGAACACAAAAAGUCUGGGAAUUAAAGGACCAGAAAAUUGGAGAAUUACUUUAUCGUUGCAUCUUUCUUUUCCUUUAAUGGAGUGAAUAACGAAUCGUGUAAUCUAGGAAUUAUUUAAGAAUCUAAAUAGAAACAAUCUGUCACCACUGAUACUUGCUGGAUUACAGCAAAAUUUUGCAUUGCCCUCCAUUGUAGUUGAGAUUGGCUUGCAUUCCAACAUUCCAAACUUCUUCAAUGAGUUUUUGGCAUAUUUCUGUUAGCAAAAGAAUAUCCCCUCUUCUAUUCGAUCAACCUCCAUACAAGGAAAGUGCUUAAGCUAAGCAAGUUCUUUCUUCUAGAAAUGAAUUGAUUAGUUCUCCCUUUGGUCACCGAAUCUCUUCUCCAUCGUCACCAGAAAUAAUUAAAUCAUCUCCGUACUGCAGUAUAGUUGUUAACUUUCCUUCAUUAGCUUUCACGAACAAGCUAGAGUCUACAUGUGCUACUGCCACUCUAAGUUAAAAAUUUGGCAAUUUUACCAUACUAUGCCCUUGGUACUUACUUUAAACCGUAUAAUGCCUUUCUUAGCUUGCAUACAUACUUUGAAUGAGCUUGAUUCUCAAAUCCACUUAGUUAGUUCAUGUAGAUCUCUCGAUCCAAUUUUGUGUAGGAAGGCAUUUUUUAGUAGUUGCAGAAGAAGAAAGAAGUAAAAGAACUUGAGACAUUUGAAAAACUAGCAGAGAUUUCUCAUUGGAUGAAGGCGAUAAAGGAAGAAAUCACCUUAUUAAAGCGUAAUCAAACUUGGGAUCUAGUUUCGAAGCUAAAGGAUAUAAAAUAUCUUGCAAAUAGGUGUACAAUAUUAAAAAUUGCCCAUAUGGUUCAAUUGAAAGGCACAAAGCUCGAUUGGUAGCUCGAUGAUUCUUACAACAAUACGGGCAAGACUAUGAUAAAACAUUUAGUCCGAUAGUUGAUUAACACUAAAAAGUGUACAUGUAAUAAAGAUAGGAUUAUUAGUUUUUCACUUAAAGUGUUGAUUAAUGCGCUCAUAACUUAUAAAUUAUAUGAAUGUUCCCCAAAUAAAUUUUUGUGUUAAAUUAAUUCGUAAUAUGUUAAUUUUUAUCUUAUGAAUAUUUUUCAAAAAUAAAGAUGGAAUUAAAAUUAAAAGCGGGAACAAAGAAGGCAGGGAAAUGCAGGGAGCGAGGCAUUGAGAAGCUAGAGAGCUUAGUUGAGAGAGCUUAAGCCGAGAGAGAAUAGAGUGCAGCUGAGGAAUUGUGUCUUUUUCUUCUUUUUCUUCUUUUGUUGUGUAAUCAACUUUCUUGUAACGUAUUUCAAAAGUUUAUAAAAUAAAUAGAGUGUUGUGUUUUCUUUCAUUAUGAAUGGCUAAUUUUAUUAAGCUGAGGUGAAGGGUGAAGCUCAAUGUUUCAAACUGUUAAAUUUAUUAUUUUCUCAAAUGAGUUUUUAAGUUUAUUUUAUCCUUUUCUAGUUAUUUUUAUAUUCGUCUACAAUAGAGCUCUGGUGAAUACCUAUUUUUCAAGGACUUUGCACCUUAUCAUGCUCGAUAUCAUCAUCCCUUGGAUCAUCAGAAUCUUCAAAUUCUUCCUGGCUCGGGUGAAUUUCAAUAAUUCGUUCCUUCAUUUGGUCUUUAAUUUCUUUUGAAUCUAGUAGCUCUUCUUUUUUUGAAGACUAUCAUGAAGAUGCUUCAUCAAAUACUACAUUUUGUUUUGUGUAGCACCGUCCACUAAUAGGAUCACAACACCUCCAUUCUUUCCUCCGACAGUCAUACUCGACAAAGAUACAAUGAUCGCCUUCUUGUCAAAUUUGAUUCGUAAGUCGCUUGGUAUGAAGUCAUAGCACACAAAGCUAAAGGCUUUACAUUCCACAGCUUCUCGUAAGGUGAUAUGAACCCUAGUUUUGGUUAAGGAAGCAUGUUGAUCACAUGAGCUAUUGUCUUUAUAGUUUUGGCCCAAAAACUUCCUAGUACAUUUUUUACUUGCAUCAUAUUCCGAUAGAUCUCCCUUAGAUGCUGUUUUUUUCAUUCUGCUACUCCAUUCUGUUGUGGUAUAUUGGCACAAGUGAACUGAUGACAUAUCUUAUAAUUUCAAAGAUACGGUGAACUCAUGUGAUGUAUACUCUCAUCCACUGUCUAUUCAUAGGCAGUAAAGCUUCUUUCUUACUUCUCCUUCGACAAUGUCUCUGAAUUCCUUAAGCUUUGAAAAAGUGUCAUUUUUUCUUUAUAAAGAGGACCCAAAUGUAUCUGGAGAACUCAUUGAUAAAAGUGAUCAUGUAUCGCAUGCCGCUAAUAGAAGAUUACUUGACAUGCCCAAACACGUUAGAAUGUACCAACUGUAAUAGUGUUUUUGCUAUAAAUUUUGACUCCUCAUAUGGCAGUUGGUGAGCCUUGCCGUAUUGACACCUUGCACACACCGUGUUUAUUCUCACAUCAAGUUGAGACAAACCUUUGAGCAUUGACUUCAAACAUUAUCUAGCAUGAAUUUAUAAUAAUGAAGUGUUUGAAUAAAACCAUUUUUUGCUGUCCCUGGCCAUGCCAAAGGAUAAUUGAUACAAUACAUCUAAAAUGGAGAAAGAAAGGAAAAAAAGGAUGACCAAAGUAAUUUGGCGAAUUACAUUAAAAAGGUAAAACAGAUGCUAACUCUGUUAUGGAUUUCCUCUACCAGUUGGAAGUUUUCCAACAAUGACCAGAGUAUGUCAUUACAUUCUUCAUGCAAGAUUACUGAAGUCACAAGGAGCAGCCAGAAGAAUCUGCUAAUUCUAUCCUUUGUCACAUGAUCAACAAAUAUGUAGGAAACAUAGAUCAAUUUUUUUUUGCUGUUAGGUAGGAAUCCAACAACUAAAACUAGUAAUGUUACUGAAAAAUAGCUAAGAAUCAUAAGGUGAUCGAGGAGGAAACGAUCUUCAAAAUCACAAUCAAAUAGGAAAAAUGAAUAAACAGGGCCCACAUUGGGACAAUAGCACUUCCUUUACAGGAAAGAUGAUGUGUUUAACACAGUUAAAGCCUGAUAAGCAGCAGCGAUGAGAUGAGCUCAAACUAUAUUUAAGCUAUCCAUUAGAAAGCUCAACCUAUUCCCCAAAAAAUUAGACUCAGAUCUAUGUCUCAUAUGUCUAUAUUAUGCAACAAAAUCAGUACAAAGGAAAAGCUGAAAUGAAAAAAAAAACUACUAUUUGAAGCUCAUGUUUUAUUUAACUUUCUUUCGAUCUUUAAUCAAAUGGCGCAUAUACAAUGCAGCAAAUGGGCAUUUAGUUUCAUUCCACCAACAGCAGUGACCCGAAAAAAUACCACACAUUUGACUUAACAGAUGAAGUUUUCUUCAUAUCAACAUAUCCAAAAAUCAAAAAUCACCUCUCUGCAAUUUUCUUGAUGUGCAGCCAAAAGCUCAUUAAAUUUCAAUUGUAAAUCUGAAAUUUCAGCUUAUAGCUUCUCAUAUUCAGAGACACUAGGAGCUCCUAAUUUCUAUUGAACAAACCUGCCCACCAAAAUAAAUAAACAAAAUAGAAAAAUCCAAUUUUUCAGCCAAUUAAAUGAUCCCAUUUGAACGAAGAAAAGAAUUACAUGAACUUACUCAAGAGCAGAAAAAGGCUUGUCAUUUUGCUCAUACAAUUCAGCAAGAACUAGAAGCAACAAAAACAACAACAACAACACAAUGAAACAGAAAUUAAAAUUCAGUCGAAUUAAAAAAAAAAAGAAAAAUAAAAAAGAGAAGAUGAAAGAGAGGAAAGGAAACCUUUGGUGAGGGCAUCAAGAACGCCACUAGCAUCUAAGUACUUCCUGAAAGCUUCCUUUUUGGCUUCUUUUUCCUGCAAAAAGAUUAAGUGGGUGGUUGAGGAUAUAAUAAAAAUAUGGUUCAUUUUCAAUGAGUUAAUUGACUCUUUAGAAUGUUGCACACAUGACCUACUGAGUGACAAAAUUGUGUUUCUUGUAUAAUUGCGCUCACAAUAUGAUUGACGAAAUUGUUCAUUGAAUUUUUUGUAAAUAAUCCUAUCCACUAAACUCAAUAAAAAGAAAACGAUCAGUUGAAAUUUUUAAAAGAGGGGUUCAUUUUCAUUGCCUUGAUUUGACUCUUUAAGAAACUACUCACUUUAUGCUAAAUGACAUUGUUCAUGAUGUUAUUUGGGUAGCCUACGGUUUACGCAUCAUUCAUAUGGUGUAAUAGAAUGAUGCGUCGUAUGUAAUUAAUAUGGUUGGCGAAGUUACUCACUGAAUUAUUUCUGUUUAAAUAAUACUGCAUUUUUCAUAUUAAUUUGUUUAUAUACGAUAACAUCAUGUUUCGUUACUAGUUUAAAUUUAAACAACAUUCUAUGUCCAAUAUGACGUAUCUCCCAAGCUCUUGAAUUUUGGUGCCAAGCAAACACAAACUAACAUGGUUCUUUCGGUCUGUCUGAUUACAAACUAAUAUGGUUCAUCCUUGGAUGAUUGAGUGUGAAAAAAAAAUAUAAUAAUAACCGGGGAAGUUCCGCACACAAGUGAUCGUGACUAGGCUGAGGCAUCCCUAAAUGCAGGCACAUCAUACAUGUACAGGUUAACAUGGAAGAAAUCUGAGCGAGAAAUUUGCUUCAAUCUUUACCGCGAUAACCAUGUGGAAAUCAACAAUAAAGGAAACAUUAUUAUCAAGCUAUAGUUCACCAAGAAAUUAAUACGUUCAAUUUUUUCCAACUUGUCCUGAAAAACAUUCCACCUACGUGUAAAAGGGCACUGUUUAUAAUGCAAUUGUGUUCCUCUGGUUAAUACAAUUGUACAUGACAAAGGUAAAUAAUUGGCUUUUAAAGGGAACAUGUAAAGUCACCUCAAUUUUUGUGUCGCUAGUUCGAUCCUGGACAUUUGAAUUUAUCAAUUGUCUUCUCUCAUCAUGCUCGACUGAUUGUUGCAAAGGCAUUUUUGUUUCGGAGGUUUUCCUUGAAAGAGUGGUUCUGUAGGCAGCUUCAAAAUUAGUAAUAUUAAUCAUGGCUGAAGAUGUUUAUAGACCUAAGGCCCCUUCACAUCAUUCAGCCAAGCAACCACUAAGCUGAAGAUGUUUGACGAAACAACAUCUAUGCAUAAUUAAAAAUAAGCAUAAGAUGUACACAGCUUGUGCAUGUGAAAAAUGAGCACAAACUUCACCUAAACAACCGUAAAGAAUAAAAAAAAGAGCUGAGCGAACAAAAAAAGAGUUAGAAUGGAAAUGUAGAAUGGAAAUAUUAAAAGUAUCGGACAAAAACCCAGAACUUCCAUACCUCCUCCAAUUUUCUUUGGUAUAGAUCUGUUCGGUAAUAUGCAGUUGACAUCAACAGAGUUGGAUUGUAAGAAGUGAAAAGACUGCAAAAUAACCAUCAAAACAGAUAAUGCUGAAGGUAACCUGGAAGAAAUAUGAAAAUUCACAGAUCUGAUAAAAUCCUGAGAAUAUAUGCUUUUUCUUUGCAGGUGAAUUCGUAUUCAAAGGGCCCGAUAAAGCCUGAAAAUAUUAAUUGAUACUAUUCUUGUUGAAUUUUUAACGGGCAUGAAGAACAAUUAUAGGCUGGCAUUAUUGAUGUAACCCAACAUGAAGAGAAUCAAAAUAAAUCAAGAAAAUGGAAACUGCUUUAUUCACAAUAGGAAAAAUAAAAGUACAUAUAUUCGUCACAAAAGUCGAAAUCAAUUUUUUUUUUAUAUUUCUGUCAAAAAGAAGAAUAAAUAAAGAGGUUUAAAAGUUUAAUGAUUAUUCUCGGUCGAAGCAAGGAGUGGAUAUGUUUGAAUUAAAAGUUUUAAUUAGAUUAAAUAUGAAAUUGAUUCUCAAAACAAAAAUUUAUACGGUUUCCAAAUUCUUCAAACAGUUUUAUUUUACUGACCAUUUGAGUUCAAGAGAUUAAAAAAUUAAUUUUCGUUUUGUGCACCCCCUCUAUCUUUUACGGGUGGGGUAAAAUUUUGAACAAAGUCUAAAGAAUUUGUGGAUUUGUUACACAUAUGGCUAGAUUUUGGUAGGAUUUUGCUGUUUAAUAAUGUUCUUUAUUUAUUUAUUUAAGAAAUUUUAAUAAUGUUUUCAUUGAUUUUUUUAUCUUCCGUCUGAUUUUUGGAAUUAAGGAUACUUUGUUUCAUUUAUUUUAUUUUUAGUUUAUGGUAGGUUAGUAGUAAUCUGAUAUUAAAAAUUCGUGUUAUUGCAUUCUUGAAUGUUUUCAUUGAUGGUUUAUCCAAAGGAAAUCCAGGUAGCUCAAUUUGUGGUGGUGUUUUAGGUGCUUUUGGUCUUUCUUUAGGCAUUAACACUGCCUACUUUGCUGAAAUUAUGGCAGCUACGUUAGCUACUGAAUUUGCUCAUGACAAGGGUUUGUAUCGUCAUUGGCUAGAAAGCGGCUCUAUGUUAGUCAUUUAUCUUUUUUCCGAUCCUUCGCUUAAUCCUCCAUGGGGUAUUCAUAACAGAUGGUUGAAUUGUUGUAAUCUCAUCAACUCCAUGACGUCUAGAUUCUCUCAUAUCUUCUGAGAAACUAAUUAUGUGGGUGAUCAUUUUGCUAACUUGGGUCUUAUUUGUGAUUCUCUCACUUGGUGGCAGACUCCGCCUUCAGAGAUUUUGGCGGUACUUUCUCUUGAUGCCAAUGAGUUUCUAAAAUAUCAUUUUAUAUAGUUGCCUCUUUUGGUUUAACUUCUUACUUUUUUCUUUUUUUACUUUAACUUCUUACAAAUUUUAAGGGAUAAAACUCUUUAUGUCCUCUCUGGGCAAUUGUAAUUCUUUUCUUUUAUUUUUUUGAGAAAUUAAUUCAGUUUAUAAAAAAUGAUGAAAAUUGACCAGUAUUAUUACUCUAUGUAUUAGCAUUAAAUCACACAUUAUUAAUGAAAUAAAAAUGAUAUGACUGAUCCAAUUUUGGUAGGUUUACCGAGUUUAAUUAAAGGUGAAUUAAACAAAUCAAUGUGUAAAAAUAAAACAAACAAGAGGAUUUUUACAUCGUUCAGGAUUCAAAUCCCUGCGUCCAUGGAGUCACUUUUAGAUAUCAAAUAAUUCACUAGGUUUAAGAGAUUACAAACUAUUGGAAUCUCACACAGUAUGAGACACCUUCUAGUGAUUGUGGCCACCCUGUCAUAAUAACCAAGCGAACACCUCGCAUGCACCACAUGUCUUUUGCUUUCUCUCCCGAUCAAGACUUCUUAGUAAAUGGUAUGUUACCUCUCCAUAAAAUCCCUCUAUUGCGAACAUGUAACCCUUCUCCUGAAAAGACCAAAGACAGUAUCUCCCAAAUCAAAGAAUGAUCACAAGGUUGCAGCCUCUGAAGUAGAAUCCUCUUAGUAAAAUAUAUGAAUGACUUGCCUUUAUAUAGUGACUAGUGAAUCACGUGUAAUGAAGAGUCUAAAUCUUUUUCCUUUGAUAGCUCCCAAAGCCUUUAGAUAUAUAAGGAACUCUUCAUGAUAGUAUAACAAUAUUGUCUCUUCAAUAUCUGUUUAUCAUCUGCUUUAAAUCAAAACAAUUUAAUCUCAAUCUUCAAUGAUACGCCAAUUAAUAUUGUAGUUUCCAUCUCAAAGAAUAUUACUUGCUUGAUCUUGAUAGAUAACUUCUAUGUCGAGAUUGAUUUAUCUUCAACUACUUUGACCUUGUUGUUCCCAUGUGAAGUAACACCCAUGUCUUGUAUCUUCUCUAUGAUUCACGCCAACUUCAUCAGAUAAGUUUGCCUUAUGCGUUUCCCUCAUGCUAAAAUAGCUCUGUAUAGUGUUUCAGAAGCGCGGGUUGAGCAAUUACCAAUAUUAUGGCGACUGCGACUUUUGGAGAAAUAUAAAUGUGACAAAUAAAUGCAAAGAAAAAAGGACACGGUAAUUUACGUGGUUCAGCAUAAAGUCUACGUCUAUGGAUAAUGACUGGAACAAAUGGGAAUUUACAAAAGUUGAGAAAAACUCUCAACUCCUAAAACUCCAAUACACCCAAAUGGAACCUCACUAAAACACUCAAGUGGAAGCUCUCUCAAUACUCUCAAAUUGCUUCACUUGCAAUUGCUCUCAACUCUCAAUUUGGGAUGCAUUCAAAUGAACAAAUGGCUUGGUAUUUAUAGCCAAAUACCAUGCAUUCAUUUAAAGAAAGGAAAAAAUCGAUUGGCUUCUAAAAAACCAUCACAAUUUUCUCCAUGCAACUUCAACAAAACCGUGCCACCAACUUUGCCUUUUGAAAUUAGCAAGCCAUUAUUUGACCUUUCAACAUAUAGACUUAUGUGGACCUCACAUACAUAUAAUAUGUAAAAUCCUAAUUUUCCUGUAUUUGCUGUCGGACCAAGGCACUGUUGUAAUACUUGAGACAAUCUAAAUUACGUAGGUAUUAAAAUAUUAAUGAAGACUCAAAAAUGUGUACAAUGAGGAUGGCAAGGUACAAAAAUUUUAAAUUGACGCUAUAUAGAAAUACCAAUAUCCAUACAAUGUAAUUCCUUUUUUUCUUUUUCCCAAAAAACUGAAUAUUGAAACUGAUUCAAUUUCAAUCACCAGCCCUAAAAGUUGCAUGACAGCUAGAACAGAUCCAAGAACACAAAAAGUCUGGGAAUUAAAGGACCAGAAAAUUGGAGAAUUACUUUAUCGUAGCACCUUUCUUUUCCUUUAAUGGAGUGAACAAUGAAUCGUGUAGUCUGGGAAUUAUUUAAGAAUCUAAAUAGAAACAAUCUGUCACCACUGAUAUUUGCUGGAUUAUAUUAGUGCCAUUCUUGAAGUUUGAAGAGCUUUAGAGCCAGGCAUCUAAUCUUCAUGACUUUUUUUUUUUUUUUUGGGAUAAACAAGUGGAAAACAUUUAAGACCAAUGCGUGGUUAAAACUUAACACACCACCUGAGAUCCGUGUAUUCCUUCAGAAGGAUGCUUCCCAAUUCCUAUAAAAUCGCUUUAGUUGAUUCGGUGCUUAAUGUUUUGUUGGCUUGUAUUUUUUUGAUUGAGAGGCUUGGCUUUCUCUCAAAGACUCAACUCCUUGUUUUUAUUUUACUCUUUUCUUAGUUUUAUUUUAAGUUUUUUCUUGACAUUGUCGAGGACCAUUUAAAAAAAAAAUUAAAAGACUACAUGUAUGUCGGUUAAAUUAAUCACCUAAUUAAAGAAAGCUUUAUAAAUAAAGAAAAAAAUACACCUAAUUAAGGAGAUGUCAUGAAUCUUACCCCUGUAGAGAAGGUUAAGUACAAGCCAACGAAGAACAAAUUCGAAAACAAGAAUUAUGCAUGUGAAGUACAAGAAAGUUAAAAGCUAUGCAAACCUAUAUCUAGGGAACCGCCAUUAGCAUCUUUGUUGUGAAGAAGAAAGAGAAAGAGAGGAAGACAAGUAAACGUGCUUCUUAUCUCCAAUAGCUUUCGACUUUAAUCAAUCACAAAUAUCUUUAAACUUUAAUCAUUCCUUUAACAAAUACUUUUCAAUUACCCAAAUAGAUUCGACUUUAUUUAAUCCAUCACAACGUUUUUCAGCUUGUUUUCUUUUUUGCCUUUUUGCUUUUCUGAAUUCGAUAAUUACUCUUGCACCCUCAAAAUACAAAGCACGGGUGGCGUGUUAUUUAAUCAAGACUGGCAUCUCUUUUCCUGUAUAAAAAUAUCGGCGAUAGAAAUUAUCAAAUUAGCGCAGCCAGACAGGAGCUAGCUAGUGAGUGAGUGAGCGAACUGAAAGUUUAGAACAGCUAGCUAGGAAUUAAAAGUUAAAAAUAAAUAAAAUAAAAUGGAUGACCGUUCUGCUGGGCAUCGCGUGGUUCUAAUUUCUAAGACUGUUUUCAUACUAAUUUUGUUUCUUCUUUGUCAACUUGGCUCCGAGUUCAAAUUUCAGAGUACUGCUGAAAAUGAUACUAAAGGAGGUGAUCUACCUCCUAAUGAAGGAAAUAUAUGCUAAUAAUUCUUUAUAUCUCGAGUAAAUUUCAUAAUUUUAAAGGGUUUUCGGUUCUCUAGCAUGCGGUUUGCAUUAUUAUAUGCAUAUAAGUACAUAAGAAUUAAUUAAUUUUUGAAUCAGAUGUCUGAAUUUUUAAUAUACAUAUAUAGUCGUAUAUACGCAUGAUCAGUUUGCCUCCCCCCCCCCCCCCCCCCCACACACAUAUAUACAUACAAGUAUGUAUAAUUUACAAAACAAAGAAUCUCUUACUUGAGUAGCCAUAAGUUAAAAGAUAUUAAAAAAAAAAAAAAAACCUCUAUCAUAGUGUAUUUUGUCUUGUAAUAUAUCAAAAAUAUGUGUUUCUUUGUAUUUUAACUUGUCUCUUAUUUUAUAAAUUCUCUUUUAUAUAUAUAUUAAAAAUGUUCAAAUCUAGGAUCUUAGACUUUGUUAAACUCUCUGAAAGCUAUUAUAAACUGUGCGGUUUAAUAGUGUAAUCUUUGUAAAAUGUUUUAAGCGGUGUAGUUUAAUAGUAUUAUUGCAUAAUGCUAUUAAACUGCAUGGCUUAAUAGCUUUUCCAGACUUUAUAUAUAUAUGUAUAAAAAUGCGGAUGUCUUCAUUUUUUUAAAUGCAGACUCGAGACAACACAAUAUAGUAUUAAUGUGUUUUUAUCAUUUUUUGCAAUUAACUAUAAUACCAUACAGUGUCAUAUCCAUGCUAAAUAAUGAUUAUAUAUAUAUAUGUGUGUGUGUGUGUGUAUGAUCACUAAUUAUCAGGUGCGCAUAAAUUCUCCGUAUUGAGAAUUGCUAAAAGUUAAAACAAACGAAAUUAUAAUUAGAUAGCAAAUUCGAUAAUGCAUGCAACUUUUAUAAAUUAAUUAAGAGUUGAACGACUGUUUUUGUCUUGUAGCUAUAUAGCUAGCAUAGAUCCAUUUGCUCAUGAUCAGUUUAACAAUAUUUCUUGUCGGAAAUAUUAUUGGCAGUGGCCGGUCUCACGGACAUGCUGUCCAGUUUGCAGUGGAGGCUGCAACUACCUAAAUUGAGUUCAUAUUGCCGUGAGAAGCCAGAUCUUAGUCUCAAUAUUAUCAUCACUUGCCCCGUCGAUAAGGGGACCCCGCACAUCUCCGAAAUGUAUAUGUUCCAACUCUCAUCUAAUUACUUGCCUAGACAGUCAUAACAAAAGCAAGGUUAAUUUCCAUUAUUAACUGCAUGUUAAUCAUUUUGUAUACAAAACCAUGGACAGUUUAGCCUUAACUGGAAUAAUCUCAGAACAUGUGGCUGCUCUGACACACCUGCAGAAACUGUAUGUACAAUUAAUUAAUUAAUUAAUUCUUUUGAUCAAUCAUUUUGCAUAAGCUUUUAUAACUAAAUUUAAUAAAUUAAACAACUAUAUAUAUAUAUCGUCUUAAGAUUGGCUCUUGCCUUAAUUAAUACAGGCAUACAUAUUUGAUAUGGUUUUGUACAUGUCAAAACUCAACAACGAUCUAUCCGACAACACAAUUUAGCUUCUGAGACAAGUUUUGAUAACCCGCAGUCACCUCCUCCAUAUACAAGGUGCAGUUUCCUCUCAGCUAUGGCACGGCCAAGAUCUACAGCUGCUUGAACGAACUCUUUGUAUUUUCCAUAAUGAAAUCCAGAGAGCACACAAAUGUUUUUGAAUUGUCUACUCGAAGAUGCUGCCAUUAGAAUAAUCUUCAAAAACAAGUUGUGAGUGGUUUGGAAAAAGAGCUCUUAUUUAAAGAUCUGAGUAACAGACAAAAUGAGAAACAGCUGUAAAUGGGUUGGUGUAUUUGUCAGAUGACGCGUAAAGCUCAUGUCUCAAUUAUUCAAAAGCAAACAGUAAAAAGAAAAGCAAACAGUGAAAAGAAAAAGUAAAAGAAAACAAAUCAUGAUUAAAAACAAAAUCACACCAUUAAAUGCAAUAAUGCAAAUGAUAAAAGAGCAAUAAAGUAAAAUGAUAUUUACUGGUAGUUGUGAUUGUGGCUCACAUCUUCCUCUGGUUUUACGUCCAGUAACGGCUUGAACACCCUCUAUGGGUCGAGGAUAGGCUUCUCAUCCAGUUUUCUUAUAAACUAGCAAAAAGGGUCUUUUUGAGUCAGAUUCCCAAGACUAAAUUGUGCACUUUCGUUUUGGAAUAGUCUCCAUAACCUGUGUAUCUCAUAUUGCACAUGUCCGCUUCGAUGCGUCUCAAGAGAUCGUAAGAUAUCAUCCAACAAUUCUUUACUCAUGCCAUCUUUGACGAAUUUAAUUUUAUUCUCUCGACUAUCAGAAACCAUUCCUAAAGAUUUACAAACUUCUAGUCUGCAACUAAGUCGUACACAAUUAUGACAUUUUGAGCCAAGUCGUUUAGCUCUCAUUUUCUUAGCAAACGUACUUUUACCAAAACCAGGCAUGUAAGAAACAAAUGGAUCAGAAAACUCACCAGCUAAUCGGACCUUUGCUUCAAUUAACCAACGAAUGUUAGAAGGAAUGCCAUUGAUCAUUAACAAAUGCAGUCAUUCACAAUGAGCUUUGUAAAUUUUCCUGAGGGCAUUCUGAGGGAGAGAAGGAAAACGCUUAUGCAAAUUAUGUUGUAUUUCUUCCAUGCUUGAUUUUGAGAUUUCAGUUAUUGUGGGAAACUGAGAAUACCGACUUAAAAAGUCACGGAGUACCGUUAUCCGCCAUUUAUACGGGAAAAUAAAUCAAAACACACCAAAAUCAAAUCUGCAAAAUCCAAUCAAACGUGAAAGCGAACAAAAAAGAAACACAAUAUGUACAAAAGAAAAUGAACUUACAUUCGUCCUCUCAUUGAGUUAACAUCAAGCUCCAAUUGAAAUUCAUAUAUGCCACUCUCUACUGUUCUGAGUUGUCCCUCUAGAUCCUCAACAUAGGACACGAAUUCUGGUGGUUGCAGAUCCCAAAGUGGAUGUGAUUUACAGCUUUGUAUCAGGCCUCUUAAGUGAAAUUUCACACGUAGAAAUCUUUUAAGAUGUGCGAACAGGUAUUUUCUCAUUGAGGUGCUCAUGAUGUAAAAUGAAAAUUAAUGAGAGAAUGUACAACUGUCAAAUAAACAAGCUUACACAAGAAAAAUAAUGUUAAAAAAAUUAUGUACAGUGCAUCAAUCUAGAAAAAAAAUCAAACAAUGAAACGGCAAAAUAAUAGUAAAACAAAAAAAAAUCAAUCAUUAAAGACUUAAUUAAGAACUGGUGGGUUACUCAAUUUUAUUUCGGUGCUUGGUUCACGUGGUUGGUAUUCCAGAUAGGGCUUUAUUCUUUGACCGUUAACUUUAAAUGUGACACUAUUUUUUAGAUUCUCAAUUUCUACAGCCCCAUGUGGAUAUACAUUUUUUAGAAUUAAUGGGCCACUCCACUUUUACUUUAACUUUCCUGGAAACAAAUAAAGAUGAGAAUUAUAAAGCAACACUCUUUGACCAAUUUCAAAUGUUUUUCGAAAAAUUCUUUUAUCAUGAAAAAUUUUUGUUCUUGCCUUAAUAAUUCUUGAAUUUUCAUAUGCAUCAUUUCUUAAUUCCUCAAGUUCAUUCAAUUGUAAUUUCCGUACAUUACCAACAUCAUCCAAAUUUGAAUUAAAAGCUUUAAUAGCCCAAAUGAUUUAUGUUCAAGUUCAACAGGUAAGUGACAAGGUUUACCAUAAACUAGCCGAUAGGGUGACAUUCCUAAAGACGUUUUAAAUGCAGUACGGUAUGCCCAAAGUGCAUCAGUCAAUCGAAGAGACCAAUCUUUGCGGUUUGGGUUAACUGUUUUUUCUAAAAUUUGUUUUAUCUCCCUAUUUGCUAAUUCAACUUGACCAUUUGUUUGAGGAUGAUAAGGGGUAGCAACUUUAUGUGUAAUUCCAUAUUGUUUCAUUAAAGAAUCAAAUGACUUAUUACAAAAAUGCCUACCUCCAUCACUAAUAAUGGCUCGAGGGAUUCUAAAUCGACUUAGAAUGUUUUCUCUUAAAAAUUUAACGACAGUUUUACUAUCAUUAUUUCGACAAGACAUUGCUUCAAUCCAUUUUGAGACAUAAUCAACUGCCACUAAUAUGUACACAAAUCCAAAAGAUGGUGGAAAUGGACCCAUGAAAUCAAUUCCCCAACAGUCAAAUAUUUCAAUUUCAAGUAUGGGAUUUAACGGCAUCAUGUUUCUUUUAGUAAUUGAUCCCAAUUUUUGACAGUUUUCACAAGUUUUGCAAAAUUCAUAUGUGUUUUUAAAUAUGGUAGGCCAAUAAAAUCCACUUUGUAAAAUUUUAGCCGUAGUUUUUCUUGAAGAAAAGUGUCCACCGCAUGCUUCAGAAUGACAAAAAUUAAUGACACUACUUACAUCAUUAUCAGGAAUGCAUCGUCGAAAAAUCUGAUCAAAGCAAUAUUUGAAUAAGUAAGGAUCAUCCUAAUAAAAUUUCUUUACUUCAACCAAAAAUUUCUUCUUCUCCUGAGUAUUCCAUUGCGAAGGCAUUUUACCUGUAACAAGGAAAUUAACAAUGUUAGCAUACCAUGGUAUUGAAGUAACAGAUAAUAAAAAUUCAUCAGGAAAGGAAUCAUUGAUGGGUGUUAUAUCAGUGCAGAUUUCAUAUGUGAGUCUUGAUAAAUGAUCAGCAACGACAUUUUCAGCACCCUUUUUAUCUUUGAUGGUGAGGUCAAAUUCUUGAAGUAACAAAAUCCAGCGAAUUAGUCUUGGUUUGGCAUCCUGUUUAGUCAUCAAAUAUCUCACAGCAACGUGAUCAGUAAAAACAACAGUUUUAGAACCAAGCAAAUAUGAGCGAAAUUUGUUUAAUGCAUACACCACAGCAAGUCAUUCUUUUUCAGUUGUCGAAUAAUUCAUUUGAGUAUUAUCCAAAGUCUUACUCGCAUAGUGAAUCACAAACGACUUACGAUCCCUUUUUUUGUCCUAAAACAGCACCAAUAGCAAAGUCACUUGCAUCACACAUUAAUUCAAAAGGCAAAGACCAAUCAGGAGAUUGCAUAAUAGGUGCAGAUGUCAAAAGGCAAAUUAUUUUCUCAAAAGAUUUUUGGCAAUCAUCAAUCCAUUCAAAUGGUGCAUCUUUUAAUAAAAGGUUACAAAGUGGUUUAGAUAUGACACUAAAGUUUUUUAUAAACCUCCUAUAAAAUCCUGCAUGCCCUAAAAAGGAUCACACAUCUCUAAUUGUUUUUGGUUGAGGCAAUUUAGAUAUGACUUCAAUUUUUGCUUUGUCAACUUCAAUUCCUUUAACAGAUAUAACAUGACCCAAAACAAUUCCAGAAGUAACCAUGUAAUGACAUUUUUCCCAAUUUAAAACGAGUUCUUUUUCAACACAUCUUUUUAAAACGUUUUCCAAAUUAUCAAGGCAAUCAUCAAAAGAAUUCCCAAACACUGUCAAAUCAUCCAUAAAGACCUCUAAACAAUGUUCAAUCAUAUCAGUGAAAAUACUUAACAUGCAUCUUUGAAAUGUUGCAAGAGCAUUACAAAGUCCAAAUGGCAUUCUUUUAAAUGCAAAUGUUCCAAAGGGACAUGUAAAUGUGGUUUUUUCUUGGUCUUCAAGUGCUAUAGGAAUUUGAUAAUAACCUGAAUACCCAUCUAAAAAGCAGUAGUAGGGAUGUCCAGCUACUCUUUCUAAGAUUUGAUCAAGAAAUGGUAAAGGAAAAUGAUCUUUUCUAGUGGCUUCAUUUAAUUUCCUAUAAUCAAUGCACAUGCGCCAACUAGAUGUAAUUCGUGUUGGAAUUAAUUCACCUUUUUUCAUUUUUAACAACAGUGAUUCCAGAUUUUUUAGGCACUACUUGUGUAGGACUUACCCACUUACUAUCAGAGAUAGGGUAGAUAAUUCCUGCAUCAAGUAACUUAAGAACUUAUGUUUUUACUACUUCUUUCAUGUGUGGGUUUAAUCUUCUCUGAGGUUGUUGACAUGUUUUAGCAUUUUCUUCCAAAUUGAUUCUAUGUGUGCAAAUUAAAGGAUUAAUACCUUUAAUGUCAUUUAAAGUUCAUCCAAUUGCAUUUUUAUACUUUUUAAGAACAGAUAGUAACUUACCUUCUUGGUCGCUUGAUAAGGUCGAAGAAAUCACAACAGGAUAUGUAUGUUCUUCUCCAAGAUAAGCAUACUUCAAUCCCUCUGGCAAAUGUUUCGAUUCCAAUUUAGGUGCUUCUUGUUGUUCAAUCUUUUCAAUAAUUCCAAGCUCCUCAAAUUUUGGUUUCCCAUCAUCAGUUUGCAAAGUCUGACAAGAAUCAAACAACAAAUUUAUAUUAGAAGUAUCAUGUUCAAGUUGUUUAUUUGAUUCAAUUGAAUUAACCAAACAAAUAUCACUAAGUUCAGAAAAACUUCUUUUUUGAAUAUUCUCCUCUAUACAAGAUUCAAGCAAUUCCUUUUGUUCAUCAAUCUCAUCUUCAUUCUCAUCUUCCUCAUUAGGUUGCCUACACAUAUUGAAAACAUUUAAUUCCAGAGUCAUAUUUCUAAAUGACAAAUUCAUUAAACCAUUCCUACAAUUAAUCAAAGCAUUAGCAGUUGCUAAAAAUUGUCGACCCAAAAUUAUAGGAAUUGGUUUAUAAUUAUUCACAACAGGUUCAGUUUCUAAAACAAUAAAAUCCACAGGGUAUAUGAAUUUAUCAACUUGUACUAAAACUUCUUCCACUAUUCCUUUUGGUAUUUUAACUGAUUUAUCGGCAAGUAAAAGUGUAGUUGAAGUUGAUUUUAACUCACCAAGAUUAAGUUGAAGAAAAACUGAAUGUGGAAGCAAAUUAACACUAACACCAAGGUCUAACAAAGCAUGCUCAAUUUUGUGAUCUCCAAUAAUACAAGAAAUAGUAGGACAACCAGGAUCUUUAUAUUUUAGCUUAUUAUUAGUAGACAGAAUGGUACUUACCUGUUCAGCCAUGAAUGCACUCUUUUUUACCUUCAAUUUCCUCUUAACAGUGCAUAAGUCCUUUAAAAAUUUGGCAUAUGAAGGUACCUGCUUAAUUGCAUCUAACAGAGGAAUGUUAACUUUCACUUGCUUAAAGAUUUCAUAAAUUUUAGAAGAGUGGUUUGAUUUCCUUGGCUUAUUCAAUGCAUGUGGAAAUGGUGGUUCAGAUGGAACAGUAGUUAUUUCUUCACUAAGUGUAAGCUUAUCUAGUUCUUCCUUACCCUUUGAUUUUUCAUUUUCACAAGGUUCAGGAAUAGGCCGAUCAAUAAUCUUACCACUACGAAGAGUUAUAACUGACUUAACAUGGUCCAUGGGUGCAUUUUGAAUCUUAGGAUUUGGUUGUGGUUGAGCUGGAAAUUUUCCUUUUUCUUGAAUUGUGAGUGCAGAAGAAAUUUUAACAAGAGUAUCUUUCAAAUCAGAAAAAGUUUGUGCAUUUUGAUUAUUAAUAGUAUCUUGCUUCCUAAUGAAUGAAUGCAUUGUAUCUUCCAAAUUUUUCCAUGGUGGUGGAACAUAUGGUACAUAAGGAUGAGUAUUUUGAAAAUUUUGUGGAGGUGGUGCUUGUGAAGAUUGUGCAUUAUUAUUAUUCCUCCAACUGAAAUUUGGAUGAUUUCUCCAACUAGGAUUAUAAGUCUGUGAAUAUGGGUUUGGUUUAUUAAAAGUGUUGAUGACAUUAGCUUGAUCAUGCAAACAUUCUUUGAGUGCAUGCAGAGUGGGAUAAUCUUGAGUGAAAUGAUCAUUAGAACUACAAACAUCACAUGCAAUUUCUUGAACAGAUUUUACUUGAUCACUCUUUUUAUUUUCAAAAGCUUCAACCUUCCUAACUAGGGAUGCAAAUUUUGCUUGUAAAUCAUGAUCUUCCCUAAGGUUGUAGAUUCCUCCACUAGAUGGAGAUGGUUGUGGUUUAUUAGUCAAUUCAAAAGUUCUAACAGUAUCCCAAUGUUGUGCAUUUUUAGCCAAUUGGUCAAGGUAAUCUAAUGCAUCUUCAGGAUUUUUAUCUUUAAAUUCACCAUUACACAUCAUUUCUACAACUUGUCUAGUUUGUGGUAUUAAGCCCUCGUAGAAAUAAGUGACCAAUCGCCAAGUUUCAAAACCAUGGUGUGGACAUAUGUUAAGCAAUUCUUUAAACCUAUCCCAACAUUGGUAUAAUGUUUCUCCAUUUUUUUGAGUAAAAGAAGUGAUUUGCCUUUUAAAAGAAUUUGUUCUAUGAGGUGGAAAGAAUUUUUUCAAAAACUGUUCUUGCAUGUUAUUCCAAGUUCUUAUUGAUCCAGAUCUAAGGUUUUGUAGCCAAGUUUUAGCUUUACCUUUUAAUGAAAAAGGAAAAAGCUUUAAUUUAAUUAUGUUCAUACUACAAUUUUGGUCUGUGUAUUGUUGAGUAUUAGAAAUUGUAUAUUUAUAAGGGAGAAAAUCGUCAUUUUGCAUUUCAAGUCUUACUAACAACCUUUACUUUUAUGUAUUUAAGCUUCUUGUAAUUUAAUUAUGUGUGUUUGAUUUUAAUUAAGUAUUUUGUAUAUUUUAGGGGUAUCAUAGUCAUUUCACAAUAAAGGAGAGAUCAAACGGUAAAACGGACAUCAUUUUUGAACUCAGGACGGUCGAAAACCUUAGGAGGAGCAUAAAAGGAAAAAUGAUACUGUUCAUAUAUACGGUACUAUUUACAUGUACGGGUACUGUCUACGUUACUGUUCACAUAGACGGAUCAAUGACGUGGCAUUGACCGAUGAUGUGGCAUUGACUGAUGAGGUGUCACGAUCCUGUUGGACUAAAAUUCUUAUGUACUGUUGAUGGUGACGUGGCAGCAUAUCAGUGGACGCAAAAUCUCGCGUACGGUACAUGCAUCACACAGGAUUAUUUUCAACCAAACCACGUUACUGUUCACCUGAGUCAAACCGUGUUACUGUUCAUCCGCGUGGUCAAACCGCGUACUGUUGAUUGAUGACGUGGCGCAAUCCUGAGCGUCCAAACUGUUUUUAAUCCGAUGGCCAUGAUUUACUCCAUGUAUCUAUAAAAAGGGGGCCUCCCCCCCUAAUUUGAUAUAUCUGAAUCCAUUUUUGGACUCUAUUUUCUGUAAUUCCCUCUCUAUCUUGUAUUUUCUUCGUAUUUUAAUAAAUUUCCAUUUUGCCCCUAGUUCAAUUAUAAGUAGCUAAUUUUCUUUCAAGCUUGGGUUGAAGGUGAAGUCUCAACAUGUGUCAUGGGCUUUAUUUGGUAAAUUUAUUUUCUCUUCCCCUCUAGUUUUUGUGGAUGUUUUGACUUCUCGUCGACAAAUAAUACUAACAUUGUCUAGUAUCGCCUUGGUUUCACCGGCCCUCUAGUACAAGGUUAUUAUUAUUUGGCACGAUAAGCCCUUAGCACCAUAUUGAUUAGAGCGUGGUUCAUGAGGUGUGGAUUCCCCCCUCAUGAUUUAAUUGACAUUAAUACGGAUUAUUUAGCCCAUGAUACAUGUUGAUACGGAUCCAGAUACCCAAGUACGUUAUUUCAAUACAAUUCUCUUCAAUUUAUUCUCGCCAUUUCAAUUCCAAAUUUACAAUUUAUUCUCACUAUUUUAAUUUAAGUUUUAGCAUAUUCCAAAUCAUUUCCACCAUAAAUCCAACAACCCAUUUACAAAAUUAAUUCUAUACACAAUUAAAAUCCACCUCCUCGUGGGAUCGACACUCGUCACCAUUAGUCUAUUCUACAAUAGAUUCGUGUGCUUACGAGUACAUUAAAAUUUGCACAACAAGUUUUUGGCGCCGUUGCCGGGGAGGUAAGUAAUUUUAAUUCAUAGAAUUAAUUUUUGUGAAUAAUUUCUUUUAAUUGUUUUCUUGUAAUUUUUUUUAUAUAUAAAAAAAAGAAAAAAAGAGUGAAUUUACAUUUUAAGUUAAGAAUUUUUUUUUCUUCUUUAAAAUUCUGUAAUUUAAUUUUCAAUUUAUUUUUCUUUGUAAUUUUUUUUUCUUAUUAAUUUACUUUUAGUUAAUUUAUUUCACAUAUUUGUUUUAGUGUGUUUUUAUAGAAAGGUUGUAACAGAGCAAUAAGGUUAGUAUCGUAAUUUCUCUCUCUUCUUUAUUUUUAUUUGUUUUGUUCUCAUAUUUAUUUUUAUUCUAUUUGUUUUGUAUGCAUGGUCGUAGGUCAUUAUUUCCUAAUCUUGAACCUAUAGACUUUGAAUUAGAAAAAACACUUCGCACACACAGGCACAUUAAAAAUAAAUUUGGAAUGGAUUUACAAGCACCACAGGAGAGGCCAUUUAAGGAUUAUUUCAGUCCUUUAGCUAAUUUGAGCACAUCAUGCAUAAGAUACCCAAAUGUAGCUGCUAGGAGUUUUGAACUAAAACCUAGUGUGCUAAAUUGUCUCCCAACAUUCUAUGGCCUAGAAAAUGAGGACCCAUAUAAUCAUCUGAAUGAUUUUCAUGCCAUUUGUCAAACUUUUAAAUAUGAAAAUUUUUCAGACGAUGAUGUUAAACUCAGAUUAUUCCCAUUUUCUUUAAAGGAUAGAGCUCGUUCAUGGUUAAUACUUUACCUGCUAAUAGCAUUUUAUCAUGGGAACAAAUGGUAACUAAAUUUUUAAAUAAAUAUUUCCCAGUGCAUAAAACCAAUGCUAUUCGCAGGGAAAUUUCGGAGUUUACCCAGAGAGAGGACGAUCAAUUUUUCGAAACAUGGGAGAGAUUCAAUGGGCUACUCUUGAAGUGUCCACAUCACGGGUACGAGAAAUGGCACCAAUGCCAAUACUUUUUGGAGGGAUUACUACCAAAUGUGCAAGAAUGGCUAAUGGCAACAAGUGGAGGAGAGCUAAUGUCAAAAAGUGCAUCAGAGAUUUAGGAAUUCUUCCAGCGACAAGCGGAUAAUUCCCAACAACGGAGUCGAUCACUCAGGAAUACUAGAAGAAUUAAGGGAGUAAAUGAGGUUCACAUUGGCGAGUCAACUUCGGGAAUCAAAGAAGUCAAGGAGAUUGUUGAAGGUCUUGCUCGACAAAUAGCAUCGUUAUCGACUGCUAAAUCAACAGAACCAUAUGACCAUGACUCAUACUCAGAUCAAGCCAAUGCCAUAGGUGUAAUGAGAAAACCAUCUAAUUACAACCCAUACUCCAACACAUAUAACCCUGGAUGGAGAGACCACCCCAAUUUUUCAUGGUCUCAAGGAUUCCAACAGAAUGGACAAGCAGCUCUAGCUCCACCAAUGCAACCAAUUCCUCAAGUUCCUCAAGCCUCUCAGCCCCCAUUUAGACCAUUCAAUCAGAACCAGAACUACUCUCAACCUAGACCAUAGGAGGAUGCAUUCCAAAAUUUCAAGAAUGUUACUCACUCCACGAUUGAUCAACAGAACCGCACCAUUGAUGGACUACGAAAUGAGUUGAGAGCGGGCUUCAACUCACAAGCUCAAUCAGUUUCAAGCCUCGAGAAGAUGGUGGGACAACUUGCUUCUUCAGUUCAAACCUUGGCAAUGACUGUUGAGAAAGGCAAGUUUCCAAGUCAACCAGUGCCUAAUCCUAAAGGAGUACAUGAAGUAAGUAUCAGUUCACCACAGCAGCAUGGAGAGGUCAAAGCAGUAAUGACCUUGCGAAAAGGAAAAGAAGUCGACAACAAAGUGGAGAUGCCGGUGACAAAAAAAAAUCAAACUGUACCUAUGAAUGUUGAGGACUCAUCAUCGGAGGAAAGAGAAGAAACCAACCUACGAGAAUAUGUUCCGAAAGCUCCAUUUCCUCAGAGGUUAGCUAAAGGAAAAAAGGAAAAAUCCACAGGUGAGAUUCUCGAAAUCUUCAAACAGGUAAGUGUUAGCAUCCCUUUACUUGAUGCUAUAAAGCAAGUUCCAUCUUAUGCCAAGUUUCUUAAAGACAUGUGUACUAAAAAGAGAAACAUGCAUAUUCAAAAGAAGACAUUUUUAACAGAAAAUGUUAGUUCUAUACUCCAACAUAAAAUUCCUUUAAAAUGCAAAGACCCAGGCUCCCCCACUAUCUCAUGUAGUAUAGGGAACCAUACAAUUAAGAAUGCUUUGUUGGAUUUAGGAGCUAGUGUAAAUUUGUUGCCUUAUUCAGUAUUUGUGAAACUUGGAUUGGGAGAAUUACACCCAACUCCAGUGGUGUUACAGCUUGCAGAUCGGUCCACGAAAAUACCUCGUGGUAUUGUGGAGGACGUGCUUAUCCAGGUAGACAAGUUCUAUUUUCCUGUUGAUUUCAUUGUAAUUGACACUCAACCAAUACAGGAUUCAAGGAAGCACAUCCCCAUUAUUCUAAGCCGACCUUUCUUGGCAACUGCGGAUGCUCACAUUCAAUGCAGGACUGGAAAUAUGCAGUUGUCCUUCGGCAACAUGACUAUGGAGCUGAACAUCUUCAACAUUGCCAAACAACCUCACAAUGCAGAUGAUGGAAUUGUUGAUGUGGAUUUAAUAGAAACAAUAGUUGAUAACACUUUUCUUUCAAACCUUAGUGAUGAUCCUUUACAAACAUGUUUAACUCACUUUGGUUUGGAUUUUGAUAUUGACAGAUCGGUCGAAGAGGUCAACGCCCUGCUUGACUCAGCACUAUCUAUGGACACCAAUAAAUGGAAGUCAAGAGUAGAACAACUAGCACCAUCAGAGAAGAAACUCAUCCCAUCAUCAGAAUCACCACCGAAACUCGAGCUCAAACCAUUACUCAACACUUUAGAAUAUGCANNNNNNNNNNNNNNNNNNNNNNNNNNNNNNNNNNNNNNNNNNNNNNNNNNNNNNNNNNNNNNNNNNNNNNNNNNNNNNNNNNNNNNNNNNNNNNNNNNNNUUUUUAAAAGAGCACAAAGGGGCAUUAGGAUGGACCAUAGUAGACAUAAAAGGUAUAAACCCAGUAGACUGCAUGCAUUACAUUCACCUUGAUGAAAAUGCUAAAUCUACUAGGGAGAUGCAACGUCGGUUAAAUCCUAACAUGAAAGAAGUUGUUAGAACUGAAGUACUUAAGCUAUUAGAUGCAGGUAUCAUUUACCCAAUUUCUGAUAGUUCAUGGGUCAGUCCUGUGCAAGUUGUCCCCAAAAAGUCAGGAGUCACAGUAGUUACCAAUGCUGAUAAUGAAUUGAUACCAACUAGAGUAACUACAGGAUGGCGUGUAUGCAUUGAUUAUAGAAAGUUGAAUUCUGUCACACGUAAAGACCAUUUUCCUUUACCAUUUAUUGAUCAAAUGCUUGAUAUAUUAGCAGGCCAUGAAUUUUAUUGCUUUCUAGAUGGCUACUCAGGAUAUAAUCAGAUUCCCAUAGCACCAAAUGAUCAGGAGAAAACUACUUUCACUUGCCCUUUUGGCACAUUUGCAUAUAGGAGAAUGCCAUUUGGAUUAUGUAAUACACCUGCUACAUUUCAACGAUGCAUGUUGAGCAUUUUUUCUGAUAUGGUUGAACGAUUCCUUGAAGUCUUUAUGGAUGACUUUUCUGUCUUUGGUGAUUCGUUUGAUCAAUGUUUACAUUAUCUAACACUAGUUCUGCAGAGAUGUAUCGAAAAGAACUUGGUCUUAAAUUGGGAGAAAUGUCAUUUUAUGGUAAAACAAGGUAUUGUUCUCGGUCACAUCAUUUCGAGCAAAGGUAUUGAGGUUGACAAAGCCAAGGUGGAUCUCAUUUCUAAUCUUCCUCCACCCAAAACAGUCAGAGAAGUAAGAUCUUUCCUUGGGCAUGCUGGUUUUUAUAGACGUUUUAUUAAAGAUUUUAGUAAAGUUUCUAAACCCUUAUGCAAUUUACUUGCUAAGGAUGUACCUUUUGUCUUUAAUGAUUCAUAUCUUGUGGCAUUUGAAAAACUAAAGCAAUUGUUGACAUCAUCACCCAUCAUUCAGCCCCCAAAUUGGAGCUUACCAUUUGAGCUCAUGUGUGAUGCAUCUGAUUAUGCAGUAGGAGCAGUAUUAGGACAAAGAGUUGAUCGAAUUCCCCAUGUUAUUUACUAUGCUAGUAUGACAUUGAAUGAUGCACAGUUGAACUAUUCAACUACUAAAAAAGAAAUGCUAGCAGUAGUGUUUGCAUUAGAGAAAUUCUGAUCUUAUCUCAUUGGUUGUAAAAUAAUUAUAUUCACAGAUCAUGCUGCUCUUAAAUAUCUUCUCACAAAGAAAGAUGUAAAAGCUAGACUAAUUUGUUGGGUGUUACUUUUGCAGGAAUUUAACUUGGAAUUCAAAGAUAAGAAAGGAACAAAAAAUGUUGUGGUGGAUCAUCUCUUUCGUCUCCAUUUUGACACAAUUACAGAAUCAUUACCAUUAAAUAAGUCAUUUCCAGAUGAACAAUUAAUGAGUGUAGAAGUAUUACCUUGGUAUGCUGAUAUAGUUAAUUAUCUUGUUACAGGUAAACUUCCAGAGCAUUGGACCAAGCAAGACAAGGCUAAAUUUUUUGCAGAGAUAAAGAAUUUUUUUGGGAUGACCCGUAUUUGUUCAAGUAUUGUGCAGAUCAAAUUGUUAGACGAUGUGUCCCAGAAAGUGAAAUUUAAAAUAUCCUUUUCAUUCUGCCAUGAACAAGCUUGUGGAGGCCAUUUCAGUAAUAAGAAAACAGCAACUAAAAUUUUACAAUGUGGUUUUUAUUGGCCAACUAUAUUUCGAGAUGCUUACACUUUCUGUUUUUCAUGUGAUAGGUGUCAACGAAUUGGGAGUAUUACAUGAAGGAACAUGAUGCCACUAAAUCCAAUUUUAGUGGUUGAGAUUUUUAACGUAUGGGGUAUCGACUUCAUGGGACCCUUUCCCUCUUCUUUUGGCCAUCAAUACAUAUUGGUUGCUGUUGACUAUGUAUCAAAAUGGGUAAAAGCAAUUGCAUGUCGAACCAAUGAUCACAAGGUGGUAAUAGGAUUUUUGAAAAGCAAUAUUGUUUCGCGCUUUGGAUUCCCUCGAGCAAUAAUCAGUGAUGGUGGUGCCCACUUUUGUAACAAAGCAUUCAAAGCUCUUUUGACAAAGUAUUCAAUCACACACAAAGUGGUGACCCCGUAUCAUCCGCAAACCAGUGGCCAAGUUGAGAUCUCUAAUCGAGAAAUAAAGCACAUAUUAGAAAAGACGGUGAGGCCAGACAGGAAAGAUUGGUCAUUAAAACUUGAUUAUGCAUUAUAGGCAUAUAGAACGGCUUUCAAGACCCCGAUUGGGAUGUCACCCUACAGGCUAGUGUAUGGAAAAGCUUGCCACCUACCUGUGAAACUCGAGCAUCGUGCAUAUUGGGCCAUUAAGAAAUUCAAUUUUGACAUGCAGCAAGCCAGCUCAGAAAGAAGAUUACAACUGGCAGAAUUUGAAGAAAUUCGCAAUGACGCAUACGAAAAUGCCAAGAUUUACAAGCAACGGAUGAAAGUCUUCCAUGACAAGCAAAUUAUGAGAAAAUCGUUCACUCCAUGUCAGAAAGUGCUUUUAUUCAAUUCUCGCUUGUACCUAUUCCCAGGUAAGUUACGCUCUCGAUGGUCUGGUCCCUUUAUUGUUCAUACUGUUUUUCCACAUGGGGUAAUGGAAAUUAAGGAUCCAAAGAACGGUGUCACGUUUAAAGUUAAUGGUCAAAGAUUAAAGCCAUAUCUAGAGUACCAACCACAUGGAGAAGACACGGAAAUAAAUUUGAGUGACCCACUAGAUUUGAAUUGAUUUUUUUUCUUUUCUUUUCGUUGAUUUGAUUUUUCUUUCUUUCUUUAUAUUAUUCUUCUGCUAAUUGAAAUUAUUUUUGCAUAAGUGUGUUUGUUUAACUAUUAAGUUUUCUCUUAUCAUUUUUAAUCAUGAGUCUCAUACUUAGACCAUUUCUCCUGAACAUUCUUAAACCACUUCAACGUGUCAAAACGCAUCUUAAAAAGCAGAUUCAAUUUUGUAAAACACAUCGUAUUUAGGCUUUGCAAUCACUAGAGUUAGUAGCCUAUGUUGAGGGUUUAGAAAGCCAACUCAGAGACAUUGAGAGAAGUGUUUACGACAUCCAGUUGGAGCUUGAGGUAAAUUCAAUAAGAGGAAGAUUUUAAUUUUCUUUGAUUGUUUUAAUUUGUUUUUCUGCUUGUGUGCUUUAGUUUGUUACCCCGGUAAAGUGGCGGAUAACGGUACUUCGUGACAAUCAAGUCAGUUACUUCAGUUUCCCAUAAUAAAUGAUAUUCUGAGGCAAAAGUAUGGACAGAAACGAGAUUCUAGUAAAGCUUCACAAGCGAUUCCCUUCACUUCCUCAGAAUGCCCUCCUUACGAUAUAUAAAGCUCGGUCCGAACGCAUGCGAUUACUCAUGAGGAAUAACAUACCUGCUGACAUCCGUUGGUUAAUCGAGGCUAAAGUACGAUCGGCAGGUGAGUUACCUCCAAAAUUUAUUGCAUACAUGCCUGGUUGUGGUAAAGGAAAUUAUGUAAGAAAACGACGAGCUCGAAGAAUUUCUGUUGCUUGUCAUAAAUGUGCCAGAAUGAGUUGCAAUAAAAACCCAUGUUCUUUAGGAAUGGUGUCUGAUAACAGGGAAGAUAAGAUUCAAUUCAUUAGGGAUGGCUUGAAUAAGGAGUCAUUUGAUGAUAUCCUUUUGUCUCUUGAAACGCAUCCCAAUGGAUAUGUGCAAGGAGCGAUUCUCCAGUUAUGGCCAUUAUUCCAGAAAGAGCAUGCACGAUAUAGUCUCGGGAAUCUGACUAUAAACGACCCUGUUUGCCAGUUUAUAAGAAAACUGGAUGGGAAGCCUAUCAUCGACCCAUAGAGGGCGUUCAAGCCGUUUCUGGAUGUAAAACCAGAGGAAGAUGUGAGCCACAGUCGCAACUACCUGUAAAUAUCCUUUUACUUUACUGUUAUUUUAUUUCACUAUUGUUUUAUUGUUUGCAUUAUUGUCUUUAAUAAUUUUAUUACUGUUUGCUUUUUCUUUUUUUACGGUUUUCUUUUUGACUCACGAGCCAUUACUUUACGCGUUAUUUGACACUAACACGCCACCUCAUACACAGCUGUGACCCACUGUCACCGAGAUUCUUAAAUGUGAUUUCCUUUUUGUCAAGCACUCACAAAUUGUUUUUGAGAAGUAUCACAAUGGCAGCUACUCCCAAUAGACAAUUCAAGAACAUUUGUGUACUUUCUGAAUUUACCUAUGGCAAACAUAAAGAGUUCGUGGAGGCAGCCAUAGAUCUUGGUCAAAGCAUAGCAGUGAGAAAAUUACACUUGGUGUAUGGAGGAGGUAACCGAGAGUUAUCAAAAAUGGUCUCAGAAGCAGCUUUUAUCAGAGGAAGUCAAGUGUUAGGCAUCAUCCCAAGAGUCCUAAAACCAUUGGGCAGUUUGUCUGACUCAUCAACUGGAGAAGAGUUAGUUGUCUCAGGUAUGCAAGAACGAAUAACUGAAAUGCUUAAUCAUGCUAAUGCUUUUAUUUUCCUUCCAGGAGAUCUUACAAUACUAGAGACACUUAUCACACUAGCUUCUUGGACCCAUCUGCACAUCCACCAGAAACUCAUCGGUUUGUUAAAUGUCAAUAACUUUUAUGAUCGCUUUAUCGCAUUUCUUAACCAUGCAAUAAAAAACUACUUCAUUCCUUCCCAUGCGAAAAAAACUCUUUAUUUGUGCUCACACUGCUAAUGAGCUACUUGAUCUGUUAUAAGCUUAUAGACCGGAGCCAAACCCCUGGACCUUUGUGUUGGAGCGACCAAAUAAUGAUGGUAACAGUAGCAACAGUAAGAAGUACAAAUUAGAUUUAACUCUCCGCCAGUAAAUAUUUUCUUCUGUGUUGCACCACCCAGGUGAUGUCUUCUAAACUCUACUUCUUUCCUUUAAAACAUUGAGGACAAUGUUUCGUUCUGAUUGGGGGGAGGGAAUAGUCGACAAUGUGAAAUCUUAGUUAAGUUUUUACUAAUUUUUUGUUGUAGAAACUAACUGUUGCUAACUUUUUGUGUUGAAGAUGGCUGAAUAUGGAGUGUAGUUACUCUAGAAACGCAUCUUCAUUGUUUAAAAAAUAAAAAAUAAAAUAUAAAAUAUAAAAAAAUUUCUUUUUCUUUAUUAAGUUUUGAUGUUCAUUUUUCUUCUUCUUUCUAUUUUCUCCUCUAUAAAUAUUCAUUUUUCAACUUUUGAGUCGAAGAUGGCUGAAUAUGGAGUGUAAUGCCUCUAGAAACGCAUCUUUUUUAAAAAAAAUUAUUUUCUUUUUCUAUCAUUUUAAGUGUAACUUUUCUAAUUAGUUUUUGUGCAUCAUUUUCACAUUUCUGCAUGCAUAUUUUCCUUUCAUGUUUAGAAUAGGUUGGGGGGUAGAAUGUUGUUUAAAUAAAAAAAUUGUGUGAUUUGUUUUAACAUUGGAUGACAUGAUGAAUUUCAAAUUUUAGUAUUUGUAUUAUCUUUGGUCUUAAGUGAUGUUACGCCAUGUUUGCUACUUUACAUGUUGAUUUCGGAGACAAAUAUGAGUUGCUUGAAGGAAUGAACAUGUCAUAAUAAGUACCAAGUGAGUUUUUGAGCCUAUCAUUUUCUUGGAGAGUAACCCUUUUGCCCAUUCUUUAUAUAGCUUAGCAGUUUAUUAUUUUAUACACGAUCUCUAGAUCCUUUUUUAGUUAACCCUUAAAACAAAAAAAAUUGUAAAAAUAAAAAAAAGAAAGAAAAAAAAUGUGUGUUGCUACAUUUGGAGGUCCAUCUAACUAGUAGAUAUGGAAGAUUAUUUAGAGCCUUAAAAGACGAUGGAAAGGCCAUCUUUGUCCCGUUUGAGCCUUUCUAGUCAUCCCUUUUGUGAAAUAUCCAUAGUUAACCAUUUUGAGCCUUUUUUAAAAAAAAAAAACCUUUUAGUGGUUAAACUUAUCUUGACCCACUCCGAUUUGGAGUAUUACCCAAUGUCUUAUAAGUUCCAUCACCUAUUUAUGUUUGAGAAAAAUGUAAAUAAGUAUUUUUUUUCAAUGAAGUUAUGCCAAAUAAAAAAAAAGAAGAAAAAAAAACAACAAAACAAAAAUUGUUGUUUCAAAAGAAAUAAAAAUAAAAAUAAAAAUAAUAGGUGAAAUCCACCUUGCAACUUAAAAAAAAAUAAUAAUUCCUCUGCAUUUUUCUCAAACAUACACUUUGUUUUCCUUAUUUCCCUUCUUUGUUAACCAUGUCCCUAACCUACGUUACGUCCUAAUAAAAGUCCUUCUUGAUUUUAGGGAACUAUAGUCCGAAGUAGAAGCUAGUUAUAUGGGCUAAAAAGAUGGAGUGAUGCAUAAUAAAAAAAAGAGAAAAAAAAAGAUAAAUAAAGUGGGUUGACUAGCAUUUUUAUUUGACUUGAGAUCGUAUUAUUUCUAAGCUGAGGGCAUAUUUCUUUCAUCUUGGUGAGAGCAUAUGAUAUCACUCCUUUAUUAUUUUCUCUCUCAAUUACCAUUCAUUGGAGUGACUAUUUUUAUUGGUUUUAAUUUCUUUGUGAGAGUGUCAUUACUUCUGGUGAGAUUUUGGGGUUUGACAUGUCAUUCUUGAAAGUAGCUAUAACAAAGUCUACUGGGCUGAUUCAUGUAGAUGGUUGAUGUGGGUCUAAUGUUGCUUUAGACUUGAGAUAAUGCUUAUACUUUUAUUUGAUUGCUAUCAUUAAUCUGAUUGAAUAAACACGAGUAUUUCUAAAUAAAUAAAUAAAUCAUUUUGAAUUUGAAUUUUAUUUUCGCUUUAUUUGCUAGGGACUAACAAUAAGCUGGUUGGGGGAUGUGUUGAGUAUUAGAAAUUGUAUAUUUAUAAAGGAGAAAAUCGUCAUUUUGCAUUUCAAAUCUUACUAACAACCUUUACUUUUACGUAUUUAAGCUUCUUGUAAUUUAAUUAUGUGUGUUUGAUUUUAAUUAAGUAUUUUGUAUAUUUUAGGGGUAUCAUAGUCAUUUCACAAUAAAGGAGAGAUCAAACGGCAAAACAGACAUUAUUUUUGAACUCAGGACGGUCGAAAACCUUAGGAGGAGCAUAAAAGGAAAAAUGAUACUGUUCAUAUAUACGGUACUAUUCACAUGUACGGAUACUGUCAACGUUACUGUUCACGACACUGUUCACAUAGACGAAUCGAUGACGUGGCAUUGACCGAUGGUGUGGCAUUGACUGAUGAGGUGUCACGAUCCUGUUGGACUAAAAUUCUUAUGUACUGUUAGGGACGUGGCGAGAUUUUAGCUACAAAUUUUAUUUGUGAAUGCAGUGAAAUAGCUGGGAAUAAUUUGUCUGGUCCGAUCUCCAGAUUCAUUGCAAAAUGGGUCAACCUCUAUUGGGUGUAAGCCUAUUCAUUUUAUCCUUUUAUGUGUCAACUGAAACUUGGUACUCUCUGUGUAAACAGCCUGUUUUCUUGAAUUUAAUAAUUUGCUACAUAAAACUGUUAACGAAACUCUGGCAUAUACUCCGUAAGUACACCAUGCUAAGUAAAAGUAGAAAUAUAGGCUGGGUAGAAUGGAUAUCCUUCCUUAAUUUUAGAAAUGUAAGUUUUAUCACAAUAAAUUUGAUCUAGAAUAGUCAUAGUAUAUAAGUUUCUUAUUGCAUUAUGCAUAUCGCGCGCAUCAUAUAAAUGUAAAACAAUUUGCAUGAUGUGAGAAAGCAUACAAAAAGAAUGAAUUCUCUCACACCCGCGAGCUUAUUAAUGAUAUUGCUUUUCUCUGCUUUAAUCUCACAGAAAUCUGAUGGGAAAUAACUUCCAAGGGGAGCUGCCACCAGAAAUUUUUAAUUUGUCACGCCUUCAGUAUUUGUAAGAACAAUUAAUAAUAAUUCAAACUCUGCUACACACACACAGUCCUUCUCUAGUGCAGGUGCCUUUUUUUUUUCCCUUUUUUUGCGAAUAAGAUUCUAAGUCGUGCAGUUUAAGAAAGUUAGUUUUUAAUGCUAUUAAAGCGCACGGUUUAAAAGUGUGUCCGUAUUUAAAAAAAAAAAGUGAGAGCGCCCUUGUGUGCGUAUAUAUGUAUAUGUAUGUAUAUGGAGAAAAUUUUCAAUGAUAGUAAGCUAUAUGGAGUAGUAUAUAGUAUUAACGUUCUUACUUUAAUAAAGUACAAAAAACCUCAUCAGAUAACAACUAUAUAUAUAUAUAUAUAUAUACAUAUAUAUAAAUAUAAUUCUAUAAUUCAAAAUUUUAAAAUGCAAAAAUGUUCAGAAAAACGCAUAAAUCUUGUGAUUUAAACUUUUUAAGUUUUAAACCUUUAAAACUCCGCGGUUUUAAAGUUUUCUAAAUGUUUCCCAUUCUUUAUGAUUUCGGACUACAAAAUUAUAUAUAUAUAUAGUGCUGUUCCAAUCCGGGAUCCCGGAUUGGAACAAUGUUCGGGAGGGAGGCUGGUGGCCUUUGGAUUCAAAUCCAAAGGCCACCUGUGGCUGCACAUGGUGGAGCCCACCAUGUGCAGCCAAACCAAAAAAAUUAAAAGAAGAAAUUUGGGGUCGUUGGACUUGAAUCCAACGACCACAAAUUUCUUCCCGGAUGGUGUGUAUGUAUGUAUGUAUGUAUGUAGUGUGGCCCUCCUCACUUUAUUAAAAUGAGGAAAAACACUAAAAUAUAAAAAAAAAAACAUAUUUAAAUGUAUUGAAAACUAUGUUUUUUUCUUGUCUAUUAGUGUUAUCGUUGUUUUUGUUAGGAAAUUGAUGAGUGAAGAAGGGGCACAACUAAAAUGAAAUUUGAAGAAAAAUAAAGAACAAGCACAAAGAGGACACCAAAAAAUUACGUGGUUCGGCUUUUAGCUUACGCCAACGGACGAAGAAAGAAGGAAAACAUUUUACUAAUAAAAAGAAAUUACAAGUAUUGUGAUAUUUUAACUCACUAUCCAAAAAUCUAAUACACCUGAACUCUCAAAUCACUAAUCACUUAAGAGUUUGUAAAAACUUUUAAAAUACUCUCACUUUCUCUCUAAAGAAUAAGAAAUAAAACUGCAAAAUUGAAUGCACUAAACCGAUGGGGAACUCCCCCUUUUAUAGCCAAAAUUGGCUAUUAAAAUAAUAAAUUUUUUUCUUGGGCGGCACUCUUUCUUCUUCUUCCAUCUUCUUUUUUCUUCUAUUUCUUCAUUCCAAAUUUGAUGCUGCCAAAUUCUUCUUCAAACAAAGUUGUUGCUGACCAUCUAGAUGGCCACUUUAUACCAUCUAGAUGGCCACUUUGUUUGACAGUUUUGUUAAAAUAAAUGAGAGUCAGCUUUGUGGAACUCUGUUUACAAUAUUAAAAAUGACCCUUUUCAUGAUUUACGAUAUUUUGUCAUAGACUUUAUCAAGUCCAUGACUCCCGGAUUGGAAUUUUUUUUUUUAUAAACAGUCAAAUUUCUAAUUUUGCAAUUAACUUGGCUGCGUUGUUUAUUCCAGGUUUGUCAGUGACCUACAAACGAAGGGCUUUUCUUUCCCAAAGUCAGCUAAUUUGAGUAGUGUAUUAUACCUGUAAGCGGUGUAUUCCAAUUCCAUGCACAUAAUUAUUUUAUGCGUUAAUUAUAUAUUUAUCUGUUUUUAUUAAUUAAUUAGUACCUGAUCUGCAUUUUAAAUUUAUUAAUUAUUUAAUUAAUUAAAUCUUUUUUGGAAAUUAAAUAAAUCAUAAUAAUUCUGCAGGACAUUGAGAAAUUGCAGCAUUACUGGUUCAAUCCCACGAUACAUUGCCAAUUGGAAUCAGUUACGCUACCUGUAAGUUUAUUUUUCGUUUAUUUCGUAUUAGUUUGGUAAUAUGAGGUCAGACGUCCUUUAAACUUGUAUUAUCUAUUAACCUUGUCAUAAUGUCGUAAAGUAAAUUACUAAACUAGUAUAUAUAUUAGAUUUUUGUAUAUAUUACCUCAAUUUUUAUGAUAUAUUAAAAAGGGUUAUUUCUGGAAUACUUCUAGAAAUGCACAUCUGUCGUCGGAAAUAGUCAUUUCUGAAAGAAGAUUAAUAAAAUUUAGUGAUUUUGUUACUUUUGCCAUCUAAUCUAACAUUUCCUAGUUUUAUAUAUAAAAUAAAUUGCUUAUUUUGGGCUGGCAAAGGAUCUUUAUAUAACCCAGCUUAUUUUCAUGGACCUCUCAUGGCAGCUAUUUCUGUAACUCCCAAGUAUGGUACAAAGUUGCAAUCAUUGCAUACGUGAUAGCUCUUCAACUUUGUUAAUUAUCAUCUCCCGAUAUGCCUUUCGUUGCAUGCUAUCAAUCACUAUUUAAUUUUCAGAUUUCGAAGUCAACCGAUCAGGACGACUAUCUAAAAUAGGGAUAGUAGGAAUUGUCCUUGCGGCUGUGCUAUCUUUGAUUCUUUUCCCGGCUCUCAUGUGGAGAUUAGGAUGGAUAGGAGACAGAGAAUUGCGUGGUACGUACGGGGAUCAUUUACAUAUGUUGGAAAAAAUUUUCAAUUCGAAAUUAAAUCCCAGGAUGGAUUUAUGACCUCGUAAAUCGAUUUUUACAAUGUUUUAAACUAAUUUACGAUAUCGUAAAUCUAUCUCAAACUUUAGUACUAGAUCUUAAGCCUGAUAUGAUAAGCACUAUUUAUAUAGUGCUAUAUAUAUAGAAGUUAUCAGGUGAGGGAUUUGGCGCUAUAAUAAAGUGCGAGAUGAAUUUUUACAAUACUGCAAGUUUAGUAGAGUGCAGGACGGACUUUUGAAGUCCGUUUGUAACAUUUUGAAAAUUUAUCUCGUAUUUUAAUUGACUGCAUAAUCCCACAUUAGAAGCCGACUUUAUGCUAUACAUGCUAUAUAGUACUUUAUGCUAUAUUGCUAUAGAAUAACUCUUAUAGAAGAUAUCAAGAAAAAAAAAAAAAAUAUAUAUAUAUAUAUAUAUAUAUAUAUAUAUAUAUAUAAAUAAUUGAUCUGUUUCCUUUCUCAUUUCUUCAUGAAAUACACAGUGACAACGGUCAACCUACGAGGCAAGUCUUAUACCCUUAAACAAGUGAAAGUCGCUACCCGAAAUUUCAGCCCCAGGAAUGCAAUUGGCAGGGGGCGUUUUGGGACAGUAUACAAGGUUGAACAUUAGUUGCCCUAUCUCUCUCUGUGUGUGAAAAGUUUUCUAAUCCUGAAAUAAAAUUUGGGAGUAGUUGUAACGACCCGCCCCGACCUCCACAGGGCGAAUCUUACUGAUAGAUGCUUACAAAUCAAAUAAUAAUAAAUAAUAAUAAUAAUCUUUUUACAUUCCAUAAAAAUUAUAUCUUUGAAAAUACAAAUAUAAAACGCAAACUGCAGCGGAAGAAUUUAAAAUUCAUGCCAAACCAUCUAAUUCCUCCAUUCAAGUCCUUCUCGACGCUCAUCACGAAUCAAUCCUGAUUUACAAAAACUGAAUCACAAUAAACUAUAAUGAGUACGAAACUCAAUAAGUAAACCAGUUUUGCAUAUACCAAAAUACAUACAUACUUAUAUAUAGUGCACAUGAAUGACGGGCCAUGGUAUUCGAAAACAUCGUAAAACAAAUCAUUGAAAUCUCAUUCUGUCUUUCUCAAACUUUCACAUUCUCUUUCAAACCACUUACUUGAGCUACUUUCAUUCGAUUACCGCUUAGUAGGACACUCUCUUAACUUUCAUAACUUUCAUAACUUUCAUACUCUUGGGCUUCUCGCCAAUGCGUCAUUCGCCCACUUAUCUCAUAACUAUAUAAACAUCUAGAGUAUCCUCCACUAAACCAGUAACAAAUUCAAGCAUCCAAGCUAAAACUGUAAAACAAUCUUUCUUUCUUCAAAUUCCAUUUGGCUAAAAUCCACUUUCUCAUUUUAUAGAAAACAUAAUACAUUUUCGUGCUCAUGCCAAUGAAAUAUUCACACAUACGUAUGUCUAUGUCCAUAAACACCAUAACAACAUAUCAUAUCAACAUAUCACAUAAACACAUGGGUAGAGCAUAUAAAUCAAUAUCCGGACAUAUAUAAAAAUAGACUUUUCAAACAUGUCAAACAUAUAUAUUGUUUAUUGUGAUUCGUUUAGAAAUCUAGUUUACUUACCUCCUGGUAUCCUCGAAUAACAAAUGGACAUCGAUAUCAUCAGCCUAAAAAUAAAUAAAAAUGCUCUCAUAAGAAUAAAAUUAAACCAUAAUCAUAAACUCCAAUAUUCUCAAAUUCCUCAAUAUAAUCAUAUUCCAUACUUAACCUCAAAUAAUCUUAAUUUAAAUCAUGAAUCAUCAAAAUACUCAUAAUUCUUGAAAUUACGAAAUUACCCCCAAAUAUCAAAAUUACCAAAAUGCCCUUGAAUUCAAUAUUACCAAAAUACUCUCAUAUCCAAAUUACCAAAUUAACCUCAAAAUCAUAAAUUACCAAUUUUAUCCUCAAUUUCAGCAAUUACUAAAAUACCCACAAAAUCUGAAAUUACAAAAUUGCCCUUAGACUGUGAAAUUACCGAAAUACCCUUGCCGGUCAACGGUCACCGGAAUUCAUCCGACGGCGACGGGAAGCUCAGAACUGAAAGUUCAAGCCACGCUGAGUCCAAUGGUGGCGGUAGUGACCUCCCACGCGCGGUGAUGGCUCCGGAUCGAGCUCCCGAAGUCGUGAAACCGUCAAUGGCCGAUCAACGGCAAAAUGACGUCCCCAGCGUCAGUGGUUAGUCGGAAAUGGCAGAGGGAAAGGUAAGGAACAAAACCCAAGUGAUGGCUUCACCGGAAACCGGCCAAAUCACGGCGAAUCGAGGCGGCGAUUCCGCGGAACUUCAAAGCUUCGAUCGGUGGUUUUCCGAUCGAUUUCCGGCGGCAAGGACGGCAUGAAUACGUUGCUCAUCUCUCAAGCUUCAAAUCGGUACCAACCUUGCCCGGAACGGUGGCCGAAAAUGGGAGAACUGUCCGGGUCGCGCUCGCGGGUCGGCUUGGAUCCGGUUCGGUUUCUCCUCUCUCUCUCUUCUCUUCUCUCUUUCCUUUCUCUCUCUCUCAAUUUAUAUGGGUGGUCAACAGGGUCAAAAAUCGGGUGUGGGGUAUUACAGUAGUUGACAAUGGUGUAUGUGUAUUUUUACAAUGUUAUAAAAAUAUGUUCACAGUAUUGUCAAUUCAUAUUUUAUGUAUAUAGAGGAGAUAUUUUCAAUCUGGGAAUCCUGGAAUUUUUGAAGUGAAGGAUUCUGUAAACCAUGAAAAGGGUAUUGUGUAGAGCUUUAUAAAAUUUGAGAUUCUCGAACUGAAAGCUGACUCUAGUUGUUGUCUUUUUACCGUAUCCAAAAGAAAUUCAGUCUCCUGGUUUGCUUCAUACUUGGCAUUUGUCUGCCCACUAAUUAUUUCAAGCAGAACAAUUCCAAAACUGAAAACAUCAACUUUUUCUGUUAUUGCUUUCCGCAUUGCGUACUCUGGUGCCAUGUAAACUCUGCAUGCAACCAUAAUUAAUUAAUUAAUGAUAUUGCUUGUGCAAGAUGGCAUGCAUUUUGUGCUUGCUCAAUUUAAUUUGCUACUUACACUGUCCCUUUUUCUUGGAUAAACUUGUAUGGAUUUUCUUCGUCAUAAAGCUUUGCCAAUCCCAAGUCAGACACCUUAGCGUUCAGAUUCCCAUCAAGCAGAAUAUUGCUAGGCUUAAUAUUUCUGUGAACGAUUUUACGACUCAGAUUAUCUUCGUGUAGAUACUUUAGACCCUUUGCUAUUCCAUGGCAGAUACCGACUCUGGUUUGCCAAUCAAGUCGCGUGGAAGAAUUGGCAUCUGCAAAAAUUUAACUAUUAAUUAUUAUUAUUAUUAUUUUUUUUUUAAAGUAAUUUUAACCUGUUACCUAAGCUAAUACUUAAUUUUCCAAUCGGGAAUUGAGUGAAAACAAUUUUUAAAAAAAAUAGUGAAAACGUUAGCUUACAAAAAUGUAAAUUCAUCCCGACUUUAAAGUUCAGGAUUCCUCGAUUAGAAGAUGACACUAAACUGAAAAAUUAAUAGAAAUAAAAUGAUGAUGAAAAUAUAUAUAAAUUGGUUUACCAAACAAGGCUCGUUCAAGUGAUCCUUUUUCCAUGUACUCGUAGAUGAGCAAGUUGAGGUCUUUUUUAGAGUAGCCAUCCAAAAAUUCGACAAUAUUUUCAUGUUUCAGUGUUGUGAGGGCAUAAACUUCAGUUCCUAUUUGAUCAAUCACUUGCUUUGAUUGAGCAGAAAGCAUCUUCACAGCUACAGUCUGAUCUGGCAAUUCAGCCUGUAAUGCAUGCUUGCAACGUGCAAGCAGAUUUAUAUACCAUAUUUCUAACAAGGAAAAUCAACCAUAUAUCUAACAAGGAAAAUCAAUUCAUAUACAUAUAUGCAUACAUAUAUAUAUAUAUAUAUAUAUAGAGUACUAAUAUGGUCUAGGAUCCUAAACUUAUUAAAGCCUAGGAAAACCAUUAAGCCAUACAAUUUCAUGGUGUAAUGUACCAAUCCAGGAUCUUGAAUUUGUUAAAGUCUGAAAAAGCUAUUGAACAAUAUGAUUUAAUAGUGGCAUUAUACUAUUAAACUAUAUGUGUUAAUAGCUUUCCUAAACUUUAAUAAAAUUAGGAUUGUGGUGUGUGUAUAUAUAUAUAUAGAGAGAGAGAGAGUGUGUGUGUGUGUGUGUGUGAGUUAGAGAAACUUUCCAAUAAGGAAUCCCUUAUUUUGUUAAAGUAAUGGAUAAAUUAAGAGACCAAAAAAACACAUUGUCCAACGUAGUGUAUUUGGUCCGUAUCUGUAUUUUUUAUCUUUUAGAUGAUCUCUUGUUUAAUUUGCUAACGAUGUCGCAUGGCAUGGGAUAUAUGGAUUAAUUAAUAAAUAAAUAAUGUACACUGUGCAGGCCAUUGUGUUGCAUUCAAAGGGAAGGCUUUCUGAAUUGGUCGACAAGCAAAUGCCAAAUGAGCAUGUAGUGAUGAAGCAAGCCAAAAUAAUCUUGGAGUUGGCAAUGAGAUGCGUGGAUCAGUCACCUACUCUCAGGCCAACUAUGUCUGAAGUUUUGAGCGUAUCUCUAAUUAGAUGAAGCAACUGCUCAGGAUUCUAUGGACUGGAUCCUUAUUGAACUCUGGACUGGAAUGUCUUGGUGAAGGUUAAGCCUAUAUACUACGACUAUGCAUAUGUAUGUACACCGGGCAUUAUCUUAUGUUGACGGUGCACUGCUGCUUCCAAAUAUAUAUGGAUUGCUAUAAUGCUGUAAACUUUUAACAGCACUAACAAUGUAAUAAAUGUAUACCAUUAGAUUUAAUUACUCUAAUGCAAUAUUUGUGUUAAAGUAAAAGAUAGCUUAAUUAAUAAUUGUUUUAAACGGUUAAGAAAGUGUGGUCAUUUUUGUAAAAUUUUUAUAACCACUCUUAUAAUUUGAAACAAUUGCACUUGAAUAAUAUUUUUAUUUAAAAAUCACUUUUCAAUCAUAUUUUUUAAAUAACUUGCAAUUAUAAGAUUUAUAUAUGGUCUAAUUCUAAUAAACAACACAACUAAAUAUGUACAUUUAAAUGAAUAUCAUAAUUUUUUGAAAAUAAUGUUUCAAAAUUUAUUACCAAUGAGCAUGUAAGAUAUGAUAUCUAAUAGAUUAUCUAACACAAAUUGUAUAAAUAACUUGCAAUUAUAAGAUUUAUAUAUGGUGUAACUCUAAUAAACAACACAACUAAAUAGGUACAUUUAAAUGGAUAUCAUAAAUUGCAUAAAUAAACUUUUAAGUGAGAUUGAUUGUAUUUUAUAUAUAUUAGGACCUUUGUAUAACUGAACUGAAACAUAUAUUACCUUUGAAACCCAUUUCUCACAUAUGCCAAGCUCAACCCAGGACACGUAGGCUCGACUUGGGUUGGGUUUUCCUACUAUCCCUAUUGCCAAGUGAUGUACUAUAUGGAAAAUCCCCACAUGAAAUGAUUUUUGAUGUACCACCAGAAUUAUCUUGCUUAAGAGUUUUUGCUUGCUUGUGUUUUGAUAAGAAUUUAUAGAUUAAAAAUAAAUUUGACCAACAUGUAAAAGGGAUAUCAUAUUACAACCCAUGUAUUAUAUGCAAAUUCUAUUCAGUUCCAAGUACGCAUUUGAUUAUUGUGUUUUACUUUAAUGAAUAUAAAUUAGGGUUGGGCUAUUUAAACCCACCAUAGUACAUUAUACACCCACUUUUCCAUAAAAAAAAUAAUUACGAAAUGUCCACGAGUUAAAUUACUAUUAUAUCUUAAUGAAAUUAGCCUAUCCUCUCCGACAUCUAUCUAUGAAUCCAAUUAACUUAAAUUGAUUUUUUCUACAAAAAGAGUAGCAGAGAGCAAUGUUUUAAUUUCGUUUCAUUUUCUUUUCACCUAUACUCUUUCGAGUACACUUUUAUAGCUAUAUUUUCUUUUAAUGUGUGACAUUGUUGGUUAGCAAACUUCUACCUCUUGGAUUCAAUCCCCUUUCAACUCAAAUAUGUUUCUCAACUAGAGAUAUAUUUAUUUUUAAAAUCAAUUAAGGAGCAAAGAGAAAAUAAAAUCUGAAUUUUUUUUGGCUUUUCUUACAUUUAUGAUGCAAUCAUGCAAUGAGUUCCAUUAAACUAAUUAGAAAAUGUGUUCGAUUGAAUUCAUUACAUGUUAUGAAUCUUGACAAGGAUUAGGCAAUAAAUUAAAAAUAAAAGUCAUAUAAUCAAUCAUCAAGAAAACAAACCAUGCGAGAUGGGUAAGCCAUUGAUAUUUUAAUUUAUUGUUGUGUAUGAUUCAAAUAUACUUUCAUAGCCUUAACGUACUUUCCCAAUAGGUGAUUCUGUAUUUCUAAGGAUAAAACAUUUGAAAGUAAUUUAGUAAAGGUAUAUUCGCAAUGAGGUGGGUUUAUAAAGUAAAAAUUUCAUAUGUAAGAGAGGUUUAUUGAGAGAAUGUGUUGAAAGAGUAUUUUAAUGGGUUCUAAUAGCCUUAUCCUAUAUAUUAAUAUCACUAAGGGAUUUUACCAAUGACCAAUCAAAGAUGUAUUAGUGGAAUUAAUUAGCAAGUGCUUCGUUUUAUAUUCAUAAGACCUGUGACUUGUGUAUUAUUACUACAUUGUAUGUUGAAAACAGAAGAGGACUAAAUUGCUCAAUAUUAAAAUUAUUUGGACAAUAGAAGAAUUUGUUAAACUGAAGGACUUUAUCUUCACUCGUCUUUCUCUCUACUAAUUCUUCACUCUUUACUUGAUGCCUAUAACAAAGAGCUUUAAGGAUAUUUGUAGUAACUUAAAACUAAUAUAAACCACACAAAUAUCAAAUUACAAAAAUUUAAUAACCUCAUUUUACAAAUAUCACCAAAUAUUCAAGAACAUUCUAGAUUUAGAUAUUUUUAUUUCUAUUAGAUAUUUUUUAAAUUAGAGUCAUCUCUCAUUUUCUACACAAUUCUUGAAACUUCCAUGGAUUAAACUUUGAAAUUGGGCUUGGCUAAGUAUAAUUGGAUUAGAUCAUGACCCAACACCAACUUUCAUCUUUUGAUCCAUAUUUAGCUGUUGCUGGAACUCUUGAAACUUUUCGAUACUAAGACUUUUUGUAAACAAAUCUGCAACUUGAUCAUCCAUCUUGAUGUAUAACAUUUCAACUUCAUCUUACAAGACCUUUUCCCUGAUGAAGUGAUAGUGCACCUCCACAAGCUUAGUUCUCCGUUAAGCUGAUAGUCGAUUGGUUAUCACAAAACAAUGAUACUGCGUAAUCUACUGGUUGGUGUAGCUCCUUCAUCAACUGCGUCAGCUAAGUGCUUUCUUGAACUGUCAUCACUGCUACUCUAUACUCCACUUAUGUGGUGAUAAUGAUAUAGUUGGUUGUCUUUUACUACACUAAGAAACUGUUCCAGACCCAAUUUUAAAAACAUAUUCAGUAGUUGAUCUUCUUGUAUCAUGAUCUCCGGCGUAGUCAGCAUCAUAAUAGCAAGUCAGCUUGUAACUUUCACUUCUUGUAACUUUCACUUUCUUUUACAAUAUACCAAAGUUGAUUGUAUUUUUCACAUAUUUUAGUAUUUGUCAAACCAUUUCCAAAUAAAGCUUCUUUGGAUUUUGCAUGUAUAAGCUUAUUACACCUAUUGCAUAUGAAAUGUCUGAUCGAGUCAACGUUAAGUAGAUUAAACUUUUUAUGAAUUGUUGAUACAUCGUUUCAUCUUGUAAAUAUUUGCCUUCAUGUGUGCAAAAUUUUACAUUGACUUCCAUUAUAGUUGAGAUUGGCUUGCAUUCUAACAUUCCAAACUUCUUCAACAAGUUUUUGGCAUAUUUUUGUUGGCAAAACAAUAUCCCCUCUUCUAUUCGAUCAACCUCCAUACUAGAAAAGUGCUUAAGCUAGCCAAGUUUUUUCAUCUAGAAAUGAACUGAUUAGUUCUCCCUUUGCUCGCCGAAUCUCUUCUCCAGCGUCACCAGAAAUAAUCAAAUCAUCCCCGUACCCCAGUAUAGUUGUUAACUUUCCUUCACUAGCUUUGACGAACAAGCUAGAGUCUACAUGUGCUAUUGCCACUCUAAGUUAGAAAUUCGACAAUCUUACCAUACUAUGCCCUUGGUACAACCGUAUAAUGCAUUUCUUAGCUUGCAUACAUACUUCGGAUGAGCUUGAUUCUCAAACCCUCUUAGUUAGUUCAUGUAGAUCUCUCGAUCCAAUUCUGUGUAGGAAGACAUUUUUUACAUCUAUCUGUCAUAAUUUCCUUUCUUUGCUGGCUGCGAGUACAUGUAGAACUCUUGAUGUUGUGAGCUUUACCAUCAGACUAAAUGUUUUAUCAUAGUCUAGCCCGUAUUGUUGUGAGAAUCCUCAAGCUACCAACCGAACUUUGUGUCUUUCAACUGAACCAUCUGGGCAAUUUUUAAUCUUGCACACCCAUUUGCAAGAUAUUUUAUAUCAUUUAGUUUCGGACCAGAUCCCAAGUUUGAUUAUGCUUCAAUAAGGUGAUUUCUUCCUUUAUCGCCUUCAUCCAAUGAGAAUUCUCUGCUACUUAUUCAAAUGUCUCGGGUUCUUUUACUUUUUUCUUCUUCUGCAACUACUACAUUAAUGUACCUAAGAUUUACCUUUCUCAUUCUUUUGGAUCUUUUAAGUUAAAAUUUAGAAGUUCUUGGUUCUAUUUUAUUUGGUUCUUCAUCUACAAUAGAGCUCUGGUGAACACUUGUCUUUCAAGGACUUUGCGCCUUAUCAUGCUCAAUAUUAUCAUCCCUUCGAUUAUCAAAAUCUUCAAAUUCUUCUUCACUCGGGUGAAUUUCAAUAAUUCGUUCCUUUAUUUGGUCUUCAAUUUCUUUUGAAUCUAGUAUCUCUUCUUUUUCUAAAGACUAUCAUGAAGAUGCUUCGUCAAACACCACAUUUCGUUUUGUGUAGCACCGUCCACUAGUAGGAUCACAACACCUCCAUUCUUUCCUCCGACAUUCAUACUCGACAAAGAUACAAUGAUCGACUUCUUGUCAAAUUUGCUUCGUAAAUGGCUUGGUACUAAGACAUAGCACACAAAGGUAAAGGCUUUACAUUCCACAGCUUCUCAUAAGGUGAUGCGAACCCUAGUUUUGGUUAAGGAAGCUUGUUGAUCACAUGAGCUAUCGUCUUUAUAGCUUUGGCCCAAAAACUUCCUGGUACAUUUUUCGCAUGUAUCAUAUUCCGAUAGAUCUCCCUUAGAUGCUGCUUUUUCAUUCUGCUACUCUAUUCUAUUGUGGUAUAUUGGCACAAGUGAACUAAUGGCAUAUCUUAUAAUCUCAAAGAUACUGGGAGAACUCAUGUGAUGUUUACUCUCAUCCACUGUCUAUUCACAAGUAGUAAAGCUUCUUUCUUACUUCUCCUUUGACUAUGUUUUUGAAUUCCUUAAACUUUGAAAAAAUAUCAGAUUUUUUUUUUUAUAAAGAGGACCCAAACAUAUAUGGAGAAGUCAUCGAUAAAUGUGAUCAUGUAUCGCAUGCCGCUAAUAGAAGAUUGCUUGACAUGCCCAAACAUGUCAUAAUGUACCAACUGUAAUAGUUUUUUUGAUCUGAACUUUGACUCCUCAUAUGGGAGUUGGUGAGCCUUGUCGUAUUGACACCUUGCACACACCGUGUGUAUUCUCACAUCAAGUUGAGGCAGACAUCUAAGCAUUGACUUCGGACGUUAUCCAGCAUGAAUUUAUUAUAAUGAAGUGUUUGAAUAAAACCAUUUUUUGCUGUCCCAGGCCAUGCCAAAGGAUAAUUGAUACAAUACAUCUAAAAUGGAGAAAGGAAGGAAAAAAAAAACGGAUGACCAAAGUAAUUUGGCGAAUUACAUUAAAAAGGAAAAACAGUUUUGGAGCUCCAAAGAUGCGGACUCUGUUAUGGAUUUCCUCUACCGGUUGGAAGUUUUCCAACAAUGACUAGAGUAUGUCAUUAUAUUUGUCGUGCAAGAUUACUAAAACCAGAAGAAUCUGCUAAAUCUAUCCUUUUGUCACAUGAUCAACAAAUAUGUAGGAAACAUAGAUCAAUGUUUUUUUGUUAGGCAGGAAGCCAACAACUAAAACUACAAAUGUUACUGACAAAUAGCUAAGAAUCAUAAGGUGAUCGAGGAGGAAACGAUCUUCAAAAUCACAAUCAAAUAGGAAAAAUGAAUAAACAGCCCACACUAGGACAAUAGCACUUCUUUUACAGGAAAGAUGAUGUGUUUAAAACAGCUAAAGCCUGAUAAGCAGCAGCAAUGAAAUGAGCUCAAACUACAUUUAAGCAAUCUAUUAGAAAGCUCAACCUAUUCCCAAAAAAUUAGACUCAGAUCUUGGUCUCAUAUGUCUAUAUUAUGCAAAUCAGUACAGAGGAAAAGCGGAAAUGAAAAAAAUAACUAUUUGAAGCUCAUGUUUUAUUUAACUUUCUUUUGAUCUUUAAUCAAAUGGCACAUAUACAAUGCAGCAAAUGGGUAUUUAGUUUCAUUCCCCCAACAGCAGUGAACCGAAAAAUACCACACAUUUGAUUUAAUAGAUGAAGUUCUCUUCAUAUCAACAUAUCCAAAAAUUAAAAAUCACCUCUUUGCAAUUUUCUUGAUGUGCAGCCAAAAGCUCAUUAUAUUUCAAUUGCAAAUCUUACAUUUCAGCUUGCAGCUUCUCAUAUUCAGAGACACUAGGAGCUCCUAAUUCCUGUUGAAAAAACCUGCCCACCAAAAUAAAUAAACAAAAUAGAAAAACCCAAUUUUUCAGCCAAUUAAAUGAUCCCAUUUGAAAGAAGAAAAGAAUUACAUGAACUUACUCAAGAGCAGAAGAAGGCUUGUCAUUUUGCUCAUAUAAUGCAACAAGAACUGGAAGCAACAACAACAACAACAAAAUGAAACAGAAAUUAAAAUUCAGUUGAAAUAAAAAUAAAAAUAAAAAAAGAAAACGAAAAAAGAGAAGAUGAAAGAGAGGAAUGGAAACCUUUGGUGAGAGCAUCAAGAACGCCACUAGAAUCUAAGUACUUCCUGAAAGCUUCCUUUUUGGCUUCUUUUUCCGGCAAAAAGAUUAAGUGGGGGGUUGAAGAUUUCAGCAGAUAUGGUGAUUAUCAUAAAGUGGAUCAGCUGCAUUAUGCAUACAUUAGUGUUACCUCUUUGUAUUGCAUCAUCAUCUGCUCUCUAAUCUUCUUCUUGUGCACUUCUUGUUGCUGAUGGUAUCACUGAUUCUGUUCAGACAAUGAAAAAUCAAAAAGAAAAGAAAAGAGGAAAAAUCACAGAAAAUUAGAAGGGUUAAUUUCAUUGCACCCCUUAAUUGUUAAUUUAAUUUUAAUUAACCCCAAAUGAAACUCUGCACAACGGACCUACUCUAUUCUAGCCUAAAGUUUUAAACCCAACCCAACCCACUAAACUAACACGUGACUUAAAGAGAAAGCAAUCAACAAAAAUAAUAAAAAUAAGGUUCUUUAGCACGUUGCACACAUGAUCUGCUGAGUGACCCUGUUGAAAAUGUUAUUUGGUUUAUUCACUGUUUAAAUACUAUUCAUAAAGUACGAUAAAAUUGUGUCUCCUGUGCAAUUGUGCUCACUAUAUAAUUAGCGAAAUCGUUCAUUGAAUCAUUUGUAAAUAACCCGACCCUACCCACUAAACUCAAUAAAAAGAAAACAACAAUUAAAAUAUUUAAAAGAUGGGUUCAUUUUCGUUGUCUGGUUUUGACUCUUCAACGCAUUACACGCGUUAUACUAAAUGAUACUAUCCACGAUGUUACUUGUUUAGCCUACGGUUUUAAACAUAUGAAAUCAUUCAUAUGGUGUCAUAAAAUUAUGCGUCACAUGUAAUUAGGGUGCGAUUGAGAUUGAAGUGCCGUAACUUUUAUUUAAGCUACAGCUGUUGUGGAAAAAAAUUGUAAUUAUGAAACAAAAGUUAGUAAUAACCAUGUGGAAAUCAACAAUAAAGGAAACAUUAUUAUGAAACCAUAGUUCACCAAGGAAUCAAUAUGUUCAAUUUUUUCCAACUUGUCCUGAAAAGCAUUCCACUUACGUGUAAAAGGGCACUGUUUAUCCUGCAAUUGUGUUCCUCUUGUUAAUACAAUUGUACAUGACAAAGGUAAAUCAUUGGCUUUUAAAGGGAACAUGCAAAGUCACCUCAAUUUUUGUGUCACUGGUUUGAUCCUGGACAUUUGAAUUUAUCAAUUGUCUUCUCUCAUCAUGCUUGACUGAUUGUUGCAAAGGCAUUUUUGUUUCAGAGGUUUUCCUUGAACGAGUGGUUCUGUAGGCAGAGUCAGUAUGUACUGUUUCCAUGACUGAGCCAAAGAAGUUUGUCACAGGUACCUAUACAGAGAAAGAGAGAAACAAGGGCAAAUUCUUAGUCAAAACUCAGAAGUUAUUUCAACCCCAACAAAAAUUUUGAAUAAAAAGGUAGCAUCAGCUUCAAUACUAAUCAACAAAUGUAAAGCAUACAGGUGAUUCACCUCAAAAAGUGAUCAUAGUUUGCUUCGAAAUUAGUAAUAUUUAUUAUGACAGUGGUAAACCAUCCUCAAUUAUCCAUAAUUAAGUUUAACAUAGACCAAAGGCCCAUUCACAUCAUUCAGCCAAGCAACCACUAAGCUGAAGAGGUUUAACGAAACAACAUCUAUGUAUAAUUAAAAAUAAGCAUAAGAUGUACGCAGCUUGUGCAUUGAAAAAUGAGCAUAAACUUCACCUAAACAGCCGUAAAGAAUAAAAAAAAAAAAAAAAAGAUCAGAGUGAACCAGUUAGAAUGGAAAUGUAGAAUAGAAAUAAAAGGAUCGGAGAAAAGCCCAGAACUUCCAUACCUCCUCCAAUUUUCUUUGGUAUAGAUCUGUUCGGUAAUAUGUAGUUGACAUCAACAGAGUUGGAUUGUAAGAAGUGAAAAGACUGCAAAACAACCAUGAAAACAGAUAAUGCUGAAGCUGACCUUGAAGAAAUAUGGAAAUUCACAGAUGUGCCAUAGACAGGGAUGGGCAAAAUCCCGGGCCAGCUCUGGGUCUUAGGCUCCAUUCGGUACUGCUGUAUUGUGGGUGUGCUUCCAAAGCAAAGCUACCAAAGUGUUUAGUAAAACACUUUCAGCUUCAUUUUGGAAGCUAAGCUAAUUCUACCCAUAGUUGUUCUAUGAAAAAUUAUUACCCUCACUAACUUCCUUUUAACAAACUUCAAAGCUUUGAUUACCAAACACUCAUUUAGUUUCACUAGAUAGCUAGUGCUCCCAUUUCACAGAAGUCGCGGCUUCAAAGCCUCAACACCACAAUCCCAUAAGAAGCCUUACUGGUGGGUUAUAAAACUUAUAUUGGUAUACAAGCUUAUGUGUCAGAGACUCUAAGACUCUACUCUUAUAACAAGCACAAAGUCCUACUUUCGUGUACCUGCUCAAUGACGCAUUGUCAUACAUAUUCAGCUUUUCAAAAAAAGCAAGGGUAUAAAAUGUGAAACGAUCCACGACAGAUACUCCAACCUGAAGUUAAUAAGAGAUGUUCAUAUGUAAUAACCGCAAUUGUAGAAGCAAAAUAAAAGAUUGAAACUUCAAAAGCAAGGUAUCCUAGGUCUUAUAUGUUUAAAGGAUUGGUAAACAAGAAAAUUCUAUCAGCUUAACACUUACUUCAGAGCAUCAAGAACGCCACUAGAAUCUAAGUACUUCCUGAAAGCUUCCUUUUUGGCUUCUUUUUCCGGCAAAAAGAUUAAGUGGGGGGUUGAAGAUUUCAGCAGAUAUGGUGAUUAUCAUCAAGUGGAUCAGCUGCAUUAUGCAUACAUUAGUGUUACCUCUUUGUAUCGCAUCAUCAUCUGCUCUCUAAUCUUCUUCCUGUGCUCUUCUUGUUGCUGAUGGUAUCACUGAUUCUGUUCAGACAAUGAAAAAUAAAAAAGAAGAGAAAAAGAGAGGAAAAAUCACAGAAAAUUAGAUGGGUUAAUUUCAUUGCACACCUUAAUUGUUAAUUUAAUUUUAAUUAACCCCAAAUGAAACUCUCCACAAUGUACAUGCUCUAUUCUAGCCUAAAGCUUUAAACCAAACCCAACCCAACCCACCCAACCCACUAAACUCAAAUGUGACUUAAAGAGAAAGCAAUCAAUAAAAAUAAUAAAAAUAACAAGUUCAUUCUUUAUGUGUUAACUGAUUUUUUUUUAGCAUGUUGCACACAUAAUAUGCUGAGUGACCCUGUUGAAAAUGUUAUUUGGUUUAUUCACUGUUUGAGUAUUAUUCAUAAAGUACUAUAAAAUUGUGUUUCGUGUGUAAUUGUGCUCACUAAAUAAUUGGCGAAAUUGUUUAUUGAAUUAUUUGUAAAUAACCCGGCCCUACCCACUAAACUCAAUAAAAAAAAACGAACAAUUAAAAUAUUUAAAGAUGGGUUCAUUUUCAUCGUCUUGAUUUGACUCUUUAACGCAUUACACACGUUAUGCUAAAUGAUACUGUCCAUGAUGUUAUUCCUUUAGCCUAUGGUUUUAAACAUAUGAAAUCAUUCAUAUGGUGUCAUAAAAUUAUGCAUUGAAUGUAAUUAGAGUGUAUUUGAGAUUGAAGUACUGUAACUUUUAAGUUACAGCUGCUGUGGAAAAAAACUAUAAUUAUAAAACAAAAAUUAGUAAUAUAUAAUAAAUAUAAAUUUUAAAUAAUAAUUUUAAUAAAAUUAUUAAAGAUUAAUAAAUUUUUCAUUAUACAAUUAAAAAAUCAUAUUAACAUAACUUUUAAGAUACAACAAUUAAUAAAUACUUUAGUGCUGUAACUUAAAAACUCCAGCUGCCCAACUUCAAAAUUCCAAACGCACCCUUAAUAUAGUUGGCGAAGUUACUCAAUGAAUUAUUCCUAUUUAAAUAAUACUACAUUAUUUAUAUUAAUUUGUUUAUAUACGAUAACAUUCUAUGUCCAAUAUGACUUAUCUCCCAAGCUCUUGAAUUUUGGUCCCAAGCAAACGCAAAACUUUCAGAGUUACGAAAGUUUCAAUUCCAUGGUGAAUUAUCAAUCCAUUAAUUUGACAUCGGCCCCAGUUGCAAAGAUGCCACACAUUGAGACAGUGAAUCCCAGACAUGGAUAACCAUUCAACUCUGACGGAAUGCAAAGCUCAGUAAAGAAAAUAAAAAUGUACACAUCAACAGCUAACCAAGAUACGAGUGCCAAAUAUAGUCAUGGCAGUCAAACAAAUUUUCAGUCAAAAUUACGGGGAGAAUCUUCCUUUGUUUCGGCCUGUCUGAUUACAAACUAAUAUGGUUCAUCACUGGAUGACAGAGUGUGAAAAAGAAUAUAACAGGGAAAGUUCCGCACACAAGUGAUCAUGACUAAGCUGAGGCAUCAUCCUGAAUGCAGAUACAUCAUACAUGUACAGGUUAACAUGGAAGAAAUCAGAGUGAGAAAUUUGGUUCAACCUUUACCGCGAUAACCAUGUGGAAAUCAACAAUAAAGGAAACAUUAUUAUCAAGCCAUAGUUCACCAAGGAAUCAAUACGUUCAAUUUUUUCCAAAUUGUCCUGAAAGGCAUUCCACCUCUGUGUAAAAGGGCACUGUUUAUCCUACAAUUGUGUUCCUCUUGUUAAUACAAUUGUACAUGACAAAGGUAAAUAAUUGGCUUUUAAAGGGAACAUGCAAAGUCACCUCAAUUUUUGUGUCACUGGUUUGAUCCUGGACGUUUGAAUUUAUCAAUUGUCUACUCUCAUCAUGCUCGACUGAUUGUUGCAAAGGCAUUUUUGUUUCAGAAGUUUUCCUUGAAAGAGUGGUUCUGUAGGCAGAGUCAGUAUGUAUUGUUUCCAUGACGGAGCCGAAGAAGUUUGUCACAGGUACCUACACAAAGAAAGAUAGAAAGAAGGGCAAAUGCUUAGUCAAAACUCAGAAGUUAUUUCAUCCCCAACAAAAAUUUUGAAUAAAAAUGUAGCAUCUACUUCAAUACUAAUCAAUAAAUGUAAAACAUAGAGGUGAUUCACCUCAAAAAGUGGUCAUAGUUUGCUUCGAAAUUAGUAAUAUUUAUCAUGGCAGUGGUAAACAUUCUCAAUUAUCUAUAAAUAAGUUUAACAUAGACCUAUAGCCCCUCCACAUCAUUCAGCCAAGCAAACACUGAGCUGAAUGGGUUUGACGAAACAACAUCUAUGCAUAAUUAAACAUGAGCAUAAGAUGUAUGCAGCUUGUGCAUGUGAAAAAUGAGCACAAACUUCACCUAAACAAACCAUAAAGAAUUAAAAAAAAGAGCAGAGCAAAGCAGUUAGAAUGGAAAUAUUAAAAGGAUCGGAGAAAAGCCCAGAACUUCCAUACCUCCUCCAAUUUUCUUUGGUGUAGAUCUGUUCGGUAAUAUGCAGUUGACAUCAACAGAGUUGGAUUGUAAGAAGUGAAAAGACUGCAAAACAACCAUCAAAACAGAUAAUGCUGAAGCUAACCUUGAAGAAAUAUGAAAAUUCACAGAUGUGCUCUAGACAGGGAUGGGUAAAAUCCUGGGCCAGCUCAGGGUCUUAGGCUCCAUUCGGUACUGCUGUCUCGCGGCUGUGCUUCCAAAGCAAAGCUGCGAAAGUGUUUAGUAAAACACUUUCAGCUUCAUUUUGGAAGCUAAGCUAAUUUUACCCAUAGUUGUUUUAUAAAAAAUUAUUACCCUCACUAACUUACCUUUAACAAACUUCAAAGCUUUGAUUACCAAACACUCAUUUAGUUUUACUAGACGGCUAGUGCUUCCAUUUCACAGAAGUUGUGGCUUCAAAGCCUCAACACCACAAUCCCAUAAGAAGCCUUACUGAUGGGUUAUGACUAAAGUGUACCCAAGCCAGGAAAAUACCUAGUUUCUGGGAAGCCCCAGCUGGAUCUGGUGAUAGUUGGCUGGGAUCAGGUUAUAAAACUUAUAUUGGUAUUCAAGCUUAUGUGACGGAGACUCUAAUAUACUACUCUUAUAACAAGCAUAAAGUCCUAUUUUCUUGUACCUGCUCAAUGACGCAUUGUCAUACAUAUUCAGCUUUUCAAAGAAAGCGAGGGUAUAAAAUGUGAAACGAUCCACGACAGAUACUCCAACCUGAAGUUAAUAAGAGAUGUUCAUAUGUAAUAACCGCAAUUGUAGAAGCAAAAUAAAAGAUUGAAACUUCAAAAGCAAGGUAUCCUAGGUCUUAUAUGUUUAAAGGAUUGGUAAACAAGAAAAUUCUAUCAGCUUAACACUUACAUCAGAGUCCAAGUGAUGAGAAUAUGAGUUCUCCCCUUUCAUGCUACUUCCAAUUGCCAAAACACCUGGAGAAUGAAGCUGCGCAAUUUAAAAAAGGCGUUUCCUUCAGCAUCAAAAUCACUGGUUAGGUAAAUCAACUUUUUAAAUGUAUGCUAAGUUAAAAGACUCAGAAAGUCACGUCAAUGGAUCCAAAUUUGAUUCAGAAGCUUGUUACUAAACUCAAAACUUAGACGAUAGUGACCAGAUAUCUAAACAAAGAGGCAUCUCACAAAAGCUGAGGUGCACAACAAUUGUAAACAUUUCAUGAACAACUUUUGGGGAUCUCAUGCGGCAGAGCAGGUGUGUUGGUCCACCAAUGAAACAGAUAACUGCUUGAGUAUAAUGACAUUUGAUUCUUAACUAAUUAUGAGUAGUCACCGAUAAAAGAGCAGCUAUGAAGUGAUUCGUAAUUUAACCAUUCGAACCGAGCAACAUAGUUAAAGAUUUUUCUUCGCACUACCAAGUGCAUGUUUCUCUAGUUUAAAAAUAAUACUGCAGGAAAGUAAAGUCUAAUAAUCACUAGAACUAACUAGUCUAAUAUUUGUGAAAAGUACAACCCAUUUAGACACACCAUACUAACCUGAGAGAAGAGUGUGGCAGCUUGGCAAGUGUCCACCAUUAUCAGCAACUCCUUGAAUCUAAUUUUGUGAUAAGACACACAAGCUCAUUAUUAAGCAGGAUCAUAAAUGUAUAAAUGUAAACGGCCACCAAAAUCUACCAUAAAUGAUUAGCAUUUCAUAUCGGCAUUUUACAUUGAGAAAUAAAUAUGUUUCAUCUAUACACCAUCCAAAAUGGCAGAACUACAGGUCUAUAAACCCUUUUACUUUCAUUCUUAUGGUUGAAUGUUACUGUUAAAGGCAAUAGGCAUGAAAGCAGAAUACAAUCUCACCUGUGCUUUUCUUUCAUUUGCUUCACUGCAUCUGCUAGAUCAUGACUUUGGAGCUCUUCUGAGUCCUGAAAUUUUAAAAAUUCAUCUCCCCCAUGACCCGUCAUGUAUAGAAGAAUAUGGCUUCCUUCAUCACUUAAAAGACGCUUUGAUCUAGGAACAGCAGCCUCGUGACGCCCGGUCAAAACUCUUAAAAAGUUUUCAACAGUCACUUCAUAACCACGAUAGUCUACCUGGGUGAUUGAAGUUUAGUAAAAUGAGGAUCUGCUAAACUUUAAUUUCCUAGAAGCAAGGCAUGUUCAGUAAUUAUACACCCUUAAAUUUAAAUUCUUGAUUGACUGUCUCCAUAAGGUGUUCAUUGAAAGACUUAUAAGGAGACGUCACCCCCUUUCAAAACCUAAAGACCUAAGCAGAGUGUCUGGAGAACACAGUACCAACCUCGACAUUAUCUCCAUACAAAUUAAGUUUGUGGUUCUCAUUAUUGAAAACUUGUGCAGGAUACUUGUUUCUAGCAUUACAAGCCAUGUCAUCUGCCAGCAUAAGUAUUAUCCUCUCAUCGGGUAUUCCUAGCCGCUUAACUGUUCUGAAAAAUCAAGUUAAAGUGCACAGUCUACAAAUGAAAAGAGGAGGGAAGAGAAAAGCAAAUUACUUCACAAGACGAUGCGAAAACAACAAGCUAAUAGCUUACCUAUACAAGGAUAAUGUAUUAGCCAUAUGUCAGAUAAUUGAACCUGAACAAACCAAUUCAGAGAUUAAUUCCAUUGGCAAGGACAUGGAAUCGGUUUUUAGUCCAUCAAAACAAUGCCAUUUGACGUGGCAAUAGAAGUUUAUGAAUCCAAGCAAUAGAAGCUUGAAGAAUCAAGCUCAUCAACAAGAAUGCAGUAAUAUUAGCUGAAACUCAGAAAUUACAAUCACAAGAAAGAGAAAUUGUACCAUGGGUUUUGUUCAUCAUCAACAUUGUUAAAAAUGGGGUAUAAUUUAUAAUGAAACGGGAAAGCUUUAAUUCUUCCAAAAAUUAAAUCAAAAUCGGGAAAAAAAUAUAAAAACUGAAAAUAAAAUAAAAUAAAAUAAAAUAAAAAUGAAGGUGAUUUUGUUACCAGAAGCGAGAAGUGCAAACCAAGACAGCCCAAUUGUUAGUGUGCAUAGUUGUCUCAGCUGAAGCUCUGUACGAAGUCGAACUGGAGAGAAUCAAAAGCAACAGCAUCGCCGCCAAACUUUUGAAACCAAAUGAAUUGUACAUCUUGUACCGGACCAUCAUUUUCUCGCGAAUUUUAAUUUUCUGGGUGGAAAACUCAAAACUGUGAUUUAAAUUUUAUUCGUCUUUUGCUGAGAAUGAAAUCUAUUGUUGCAGUUUCAGUGACGCAAACAGUGCUCCGGCCGGAUCCACGUACCGAAGUUGAAAAUAGGAUACAAAUUUAGGGGAAUCUUAGGUGCAACUAACCGUUGGAUGUCAGUGGACUCCACUAAUCUAACUACAUCCAACGGUUAGAUGCAACUGUAGCACAAUACCACAGUUACACCGUAACUUGAUUCCAAAUUUAAAUUUAGUCCCGAUUUGAUGUGGAAAUUGAAAUUGAAUAAAAUAUUUAUUUUAUAAUUUAUUAUAAAAUUUGUAUUUGAUAAAUUUUAUAAAAACUGCUCAUUUUAAUUUUGACAGUAACUUUUUUUUAGAGAAUUAUUUUUUAUAAACAACUUAUUAAAUAAUCUAUUAUACAUUUUUAAAAUUUUUUAUUAUAAUCUUAAUAUUUUUAAAAAAUAAUUAUAUCUUAUUUUUUCAUACACCAUAAUAUUAAGCCAUUAAAUAUCAUAUUAUUACCACAAUCAAAUUACAGCUACAACUAAUGUAUAUUCUCUCUAGUAUCAAAGUUUUAAUCUAAUAAGUUCAUAUUUUUUAUAUUUUACUUGUAUUUCCUAUUAUAAAAUUAAAAAAAGUUUGCAUAUAAUUAUGUAAAUUUUUUUGAACUUUGAACAAUUUCACAUGAAUUAACCAUAACUUUUAAAAUUAAUUUCAUAAACAUGGUUUUUAAUAUUCAAUCUAUUUAUAUUUUUUUCCAUGUUUAUUACAUCAUGUUUAAUAUUAAUGUAAUGUAUAUUACUUUUUUUUUAUCUAGAUUACGUAUUAGUAUGAAUUUUUAUCAUAUUUUAUAUAAUAAAUUUAUUAUUUUUUUCAGUUUAUGUCAUUUUACGUGUUUUUUUUUUAAAAAGCUAUGUCUAAACAUCAUUAAAUAUAAUAAAAAAAUAAAAGGUAAUUUAAACUUACGUAUGUUUUGAUUAUUAUAAAAUAAAAUAAUACAUUUAUAAUAAAAUUUAACAAACGCACGUACAUUACUUUUAAAUUUUACAGCAACUGCGACAACACAGCUUACUAAACACUAAGGAGCUUUUUUAAUUAGCUGUUUAUUGCAUCCGUACAGUAAAAGUAACUUAUUUAAUUAACAAUUGCAAUCCCAAAGUGGCUCUUUGUCCUCGUCCCAUCUCCUAACCCGACAAAUAAAUUGCCUUUAAGCCACCAAAACUAUUUGAAAAUUUUUGGGCAAUGGAAAAUGCUAUUUCCACAAAAUCAAAAGAAAUUAAUUUUCCUAUGUUGGAUUAAUACAUAGUGUUGGUUCGAUUUAGAAUUAAUCCAUAAUUUGGUUCCUUUUUUUGGUUUUUUAAAGUUCAUUCAUUUGUAUUUUGUGAUUUUUUUUAUGUUACGUUUACUAAUUCUUAAUUGGAAUGGAUGGAAUCAGAAUGUUAAUUGAUAAUCAUAAUAAAUUUUGUUAUUUUACUUAUUAAAAUUGGAAUCAAAAUGAGUUGUAUUACUAUUAAUCUGUUUAUUUUGUUUUGGAAUCAAAAUAGAUUAUUACAAGUUACUAAAAUAACCUAAGUUGAUUAUUUUCAUUAUUUAUUAUAAUAAUUGUGAUUAUGAUUUUUAUCAUUCAAUAUAAUUAUUGUUAAUAAUAAUAAUAAUAAUAAUGACGACAAUGAUAUAUUAUUAUUAUUAUUAUUAUUAUUAUUAUUACUACUACUAGUACUAUUAUUAUUGUAUUACUAAUGAUAAAUAAUUUAGGACCUAUUUGCAAGUGGCAAAAAUUAAUUUGGGUAAUUUAAAAAUUAUAAAAAAUUUAAUGGGGUAAAAUAAAAAAUUUAAGAAAAGAAAACUUGAUUCUCAACAUUCUUUAAUAGUUAAUUCAAAAAACAUACGAGCCUCAUAUAUUUCAUUCUCAUUCACACUUCUACUUUAACAAAUAAACGCUAUCAACCAUUCUCAUUUCAGAUUCUGAUUCAUCAAUCCUACAAAUAAACACACCUUUAAUAUGAAUUGAUUGAUUUUUAUUGAUUUUUAUAACCAAACCACAUCAACUUGAAUCAUUGGUGCCAUUUGGUCUUUUAGUGGGCAUCGAUUUUUUCUGUCCACCCUNNNNNNNNNNNNNNNNNNNNNNNNNNNNNNNNNNNNNNNNNNNNNNNNNNNNNNNNNNNNNNNNNNNNNNNNNNNNNNNNNNNNAUGGGUUGAAUAUCUCUAUAUUUUGUGUUUUUAUUUCUAUUUAUGUGCACUUUGUUAUUUAGUGAAUCUCAAUUAGUAACAAAUUACCCAUCAAAUAAUUUUUUCUAUUACAUCCAUUUUCAUCUCUUUAUUAUACAUAUAUAUUCUUUAAGUAAUAUGAUGAUAAUCCGACUUCUUUCACACCAAUACAAACGAGAUUGGAACCUCAUACUUUAAUACAUACUAUCAUAAAAAAUUUUACAAAUCGAACAACUAAGCACUCACAAGUUUUUGUUUCACUUACCUUGAAUAAUAUCUCAAGUAAAUGAAAUAUAUUUUUAAAAACCCUAAACUAUACAUGUCGUCAUUUUCGUGAAAAGAAUGUAUCAAAGCACAAUGAGGAUGCCAUUGGUGAUGCAAAUGAGAGGAGAGAUUCACACCAAACGCCUCUAUUUUGAUAAUAAGUGUUAAAAAUGAGAAUUUUCCAUCUCUUGUGCAUCAAUCAUUAGCAUUCGUCAUCACUAGUCGUUCAUGUUCGAAUUCUUUAGUAGCCUCAUUAAUCUGAUGUAGGAAGGUAAAUUAAUUUAUUUUAGGUAAUUUGGGAUUAUAGAAUAUUUAUUGUUUUAGGAAUUUUUAUUUUAGUUUAAGUCAAUUAUGGUAUGUGUCAUAGUCUUUUAUUUCUAUAAUAAUUGUGAUUUAGUUUUUCUUUUUAGGUUAACUUAGAAAAGUGAAUUUCCUCUAUUAUAACUUUGCCAUUGUUUUAAAAAAGUUCAGAUUCAAUUAUUCAAUAAAACUCCCCUUUUAUAAUUCCAUCUAGGAUUAUCUAUCAAAGAUUCAAAACUUCUCUUGUAGAGUCGUUUGGAUUAGAACGUCAUCUAAUCUCGCUUUAUGCAUUAUUAAAAAUCUCAUUAACCUCAUUCAGAAUCAUGCUUCGAUUAGAGCGUAACCUAAUCGCGUUGGCUCGGUCCAAUACUAAAACGAUAUCUAGUAUUUUUAUCUAAUCAAUCCCACUUCCGCUAUGCCUCGCCCCAUCAAUUGGUAUCAGAACAAUUCUGUGCGAAUCGUACAGCUUUCCUGGAUACCCCAUACCCCUCCAUACCAAAUCCACCGUUGAAAAAAAAAAAAUCAAAAAUCCCCAAAUUUUAAACCCUAACCGCCGCACCCCCACCACAGCCGCCGCCACUACAACCACACAACACCACUGUUUAGCCAGCCAACACAGCUGCCAACCUCGCCAGCCUCCGGCGACCAAACCCAAACCCAGCCCGUUCUCAACGCCGCCUACAACCACCGCGAAAAUACCCAAAUCCGCGCGACCUCAACCAUCCACCACCGUGAAAUCACCGCCUAUUUCCGUCAAUCGUUGCUGCUGUUGUAAUCCCCAACCACCGCCGAACAAAACCCGAUCAACCACCAUCCUUAAACACCCCCACAACUGCCGCACGAAAGCACUUAAACCUGCGGCUUCAUCACUCGAUCCGCCACCGUAAGCCACCCCACCAUCGAGCACCACCACCAAAAGAAUCUCCAUCCUCUGCCGAACAAAACCCGGCCAUCAACAUCACAAAUCGCCCAUAUUAACCAUCAGGCAAACAACCCUCAAACCCGCAAGCUUUACCUCUUCGAUCUACACCCACCACCGCGGAUCUGGCCAAUCCACAACCACCAUCGAGUUCCUCAUCACCAAAUCUUUCAGAUCCGAUACCCUCUGGUCCCAAUCACGGGCACCGACCGUUGGCCAUACCAAACCCGAGAGUUGAGCCUUAAUUACGAUUUUGCCAUUGUGUGGAAACUUGGCAAUAAAUGGCAAACUACCGUUAUUGCCCUAUCAUGUGCCGUUAUUAUCUGCAUACACUUAUUCGGAUAAAUUUCUUGAAUGAUUGGACAAGAUUCAUCACUGGUUUCUAUUUCGGCGUACUCCCAAAGAAAAGCAAGUAUCAUUUGUUGUUAGUAGAUUAAGCAUAAGUGCUUCAGAAUGGUGGGAUGAGUUGCAAACUUCUCGAAUUGACAAAGGCAAAUGCAAAGUUUGAUCAUGGAACCGUAUGAAGCGUAUUUUGCAAUCCGAGUUUAUCCCUCUUGAUUAUUGUUUGGUACAGCAAAGUACGAGAUCCAUUUCUUCUCGUGCUUAUGAGUUUGAACGAUUUUAUGGAUGCAAUUAUUACUAUGAGUCUGAAGAGAAUACAGUUACAAGAUUUAUUAAAGGGCUUGAUUUGCAUAUUCAAGAAAAGAUGCCUACAUACACUAUCUACAAUUUACAGCAUGCAAUUUAUUUAGCCAAGAAAAUCGAAUCGCAAAUUGAGUCACAACAUUAAAGAAAGUUUGAUGAUGUGAAUAAACAAAUUGACGAAAUCUAGAAUUUAAUCAAGGAAUUGCGUGUUUCUAUGAAAGUGCCUAGAGAUGUACCAAAAGUUCUCCUUUCGUUGAGGAAGAAGACUCGCGUGAGAUACCGCAGGAAAAUGUACAAUUUAUCAUUGAUUUGAAGUUUCAAUCUGACAAUUUGUGCGAGAAUGUGCAUGAUGUUUCCUUGGAGGACAAGAGCGAGAAUUUGCAUGAUGUUUCCUUGGAGGACAAGACGAGUGUUGAAGAUGAUGAAAUUUUUUUUCUCUUUGGGAUUUUUAAAGAAGAAGAACAAUCUCAUCUUGAUUUAAGCAGCGAGCCUAAUAGUAUGAUCGAGAUCGUGCCGCAAAAUCAAGUUGAAGAAGUUGAAAUGAUUGAAAUGGUUUUACCUAUUCACAUUGAAGACAAGAAGAUUGUGCUUGAAGAAGAUUUGAUUGAAAAUGUGAAAUUUAUUGGAGAGCGCAUUGAGCGGCAAUUGAGGAAGGGCAAGAGUUAUUUGAUCGUUGUUCGUUCUUGGAAGUCGUCAUCGGCUCAAAGAAUGUACAAGCGAAGGAAGUUGAUGAAGUUUGGAUACUUCAAAGUUUCGAGGAAGAUUGAUGAGCAAGGCUACAAGUUUGAAUUACAAGAUGAUUUGCUCCUACACUAUAAGUUGCAUCCUCCAGACUGUAUUCAAACUCGAGGACGAGUUUCUUUUAAGAGGGGGAGAAUGAUGUAGGAAGGUAAAUUAGGUUAUUUUAGGUAAUUUGGGAUUAUAGAAUAUUUAUUGUUUUAAGAAUUUCUAUUUUAGUUUAAGUCAAUUAUGGUAUGUGUCCUAGUCUUUUAUUUCUAUAAUAAUUGUGAUUUAGUUUCCCUUUUUAGGUUAACUUAGAGAAGUUGGUUUCUUCUAUUAUAAAUAGAGAAACCUUGUCAUUGUUUUAAAAAAGUUCAGAUUUAAUUAUUCAAUAAAACUCCCCUUUUAUAAUUACAUUUGGGAUUAUCUAUCAAAAUCUAUCUUGUAGAGUCGUUUGGAUUAGAGCGUCAUCUAAUCUCGCUUUAUGCGUUAUUAAAAAUCUCAUUGAGUCGUCUUGAUUAGAACGAUAUCUAAUCACGCUUCAAUUAAAGGGUAACUUAAUCGCGUUGGUUUAGUCCAAUACUAGAACGAUAUCUAGUGUUUUUAUCCAAUCAAUCCUACUUCCGCUAUGCCUCGCCCCUUCACCAUAUAAAUUAAAUUAUUUAAUGUGAAAUUAAAGAAUGUAGGGUGGUCCCCUCCCCCUGCUAUUUUUGGUUUAUUAUGUAAUAAUGCUUAUGGGAUUGUACACUCCCGUUUAGUGUUGCAUUAGCUCUUCGUGAGCCCUUCUUUAAUAAUAAAAAAAAAAUGUUGGGUGGGUGUAUAAUAAAAGAAGCGGGAGUUAUGUAAUAAAAAAAAAUUACUUAUUUGUAGAUUUGACUUGAGGAUAAAGGGGCAUGUGAGUGAUGUCAGGGUUGAGCUUAAAAAAGGCCCAUACGAGUGGUCUUCAUGGCUCAAAUACCUUACGUAGCCCACUUAUAAAAUUGGGCCUUCAAAAGAGUUUUAAGUCAACAACUGUUGAACUUGUUCAUUUUCAUCCUACCUUGUGACAUGUUUUGGUUUUUUUUUUUUUUGGUUAAUCUCUCUGAUUCUUUUUAGUUUUUUAUUUAUUUAUUUUUAAAUAGAAUUUUAUGCUAAUUAGUAUAUUAUGAAUAUUCCUAUUCAAAUAUGUACAUGGGUAAAGUGGAAUGCUUAACACUCGGUAACAAUGAAAAUAGUAAUAUUAGUAAUCAUUUGACAAGUUUCAAUUUAUAAUCUAAUAUGUAGCUUGGUGCUUAGGUUCGGAUGUUCAGAUGAAUUUAAAAUACAUAGUUAAAAGAUAAGAAAAAUAUGAACUAGAAUGCACUAUUCUUGUCUUUAGUGUAUCGAAGUUUAUAUCUUCUUUUUCUUUUUUAAUCUUUCAACUGCAUCUUGAUAAUUUUAAAAUAUGAACGUCAGCAAUUAAGCAUGACUCAUCAUAUGCUAUAUUAAUUUAAAUAUACAUUUUGCAUUAAAAAAUAAACAAUAAUAAAUUCUAGUUUGUAAUCAACCCUUCUAAUAAAAGACUUGUUUAAUAUAGUAGUAAGGAUCCUGCAACACCAUCAUUAUGAAUUUUAAUUUGACUUUUAAGAAUGGACAAAGAUCCUCUUUUAAUAAUUUUUUCCCCUAAUAUUUUCAAGUGAAAUAAGUGGUUAAGAUUGAAUUUUAAAAUUUGAUAUUGACAAUCAAGCCAAAUUUUUUUUCACUUUAUUUAGAAAUAAAUUUAUAAAUAUUGAAGGACUAAGAGAGAUUAAAAGAGAUUGAAAAAAAAAGGAGAGAAUUCUAAUCCUUGAAGAACAAACCCAAAUUCUCUAUCCUAUCAAAUGAAAUUCUAAUGCAAAAUAAAGAAAAAUGAUGGGUAAAAAUCAGUGCUCUAAAAGUGAGCGGAGAAUUGAUUCUUCUUCCUUUACUUUAUAAAGAGAUGGUGCUAAUAAUAAUAGGAAAAAAAACUAACACACCCCCAACGUUUAGACAAAAGGACAAAAACCCCCUAACGUUUCAAAAAAGACAUUUACACUCUCAUUCACUAACGGAAACAGUUACUUUUAACGGAAAUAGUAAUUUUAAUAUAUAAUUACCGUUAUUCCUUUCUAGCACAUAAAAAAUAAAUGUUAAUUGUCCAAUUUAUUCAUAUAUUGUUAAUAAAAUUAUAAAUAUACCCUCAUUACCCAAUUCCUCUAUCUAAAUUUUUAUCAAAUUCUCUCUUCAAGCCAAAUAAAUUUAAUCCAUUACCCAAGAAUAUAAAUAAAUAAAAUUAGUUAUUAAUGCCAUAAGAAUAACAAUUAAAAUUUAAAGUAGAUAAUUAACAAUUAAAAUGUCAAUAAUUUAAACUUGUAUAAUCAACAAAAUAAAAAAAGGCUGGUUACAACAAUAAUUACAAAACAUAUUAUUUUAAUUGUAUUAAAUAACAUAUCCAAUAGACAUAAAAAUUGAUAAUGAAUUAAAUUUAUUUGGCUUGAAAAGAGGAUUUGAUAAAAAUUUAAAUAGAGGAAUUGGGCAAUGAGGGUAUUGUUAGAGUGCAAUUUAUGCACUAGUUUUGCAUUGUUUACUUCCCUUAAUAUCGAUGUUUUGCAUUUAAUAAUAGUGAUUUACUUUUGUAGGUGCAAUUCUAUUGAUUGGUGAUAAAAUUGAGCUACAAGAUGAUGUUUAGGGAUGAUUGUUCCCUUGGAGAAAUUAUGAGCGGCAGAAGAACUUUGUUGAUAAGGCGUAGGCGCGUGCUGUCAAUUGCGGACCUGCAGUUUUUAGUUUAACGUGUUUUAUAUUUUGGCUAUUUUUGUAAUUACGAAUUUAAUAUUUUAGAUAUUAGUAUUUUAUUUUAAAUAGAACUCUAAAAGAGAAGAGAGAGAGAGUAUUUAAGGGAGGAAUCUAUUGUGAAAAAGGGGGAUUUUUGGAUUGGAGAAAAAGAAAGAAACCCUAGAUCUUAAUUUUUCUCUUCUCUCUAUGAAGAACUAAACCUAUUUUUCUAGUUGAAGGAUAAUGAAGCUUUGAUUCAUCACUACUGUGAGAUCUUUCUUGUGCUUUAAUUGUUUUAUUGCUUUUUGGGUAUUUGUUUAUUCUCUGAAUUAUUUUUAUGAUUAUGUUUGUUAAUUAGGUAAUUGGCCACUAUUUAAUUAUCAACUUAAUCUAUUGUCAAUUAAAGGAUUCAUCGUAUAAAGAAUUUAAUGUUUGUGACAAAUAACAUAGCAGAGAGUUGUGUUGUGAGAAUAAACAAUCUAAUUUAAAUGAAUCAUCAUAUGUGUUGAUUAUGAUUUGGGUCUCUCUGGUUUUUCAGGCUGUCAAUUGAUUAAAUCCUAUGAUCGUAUCUAGAGUUGUCUAUUGAUUAGGGAAAUAACCAACGGUCGUACCUUGGUUAUCCACUAGUUAAGGAGAGAUUGGUUAUUAGAGGGUCUCAGUAGCUAUAACCGGUCUAUUCAUGAGUAAUAAUAAUCUAUAUUUGAAUCAAUGAUCAGUAGUCGAAUCAAGCUGAGUUAAUUCCUUCAACCAGAGCUUUCUCCAAUUUGAAUUACAACUUUAAUUUGCAUUCUUGUUAUUUUUAAUUUGAUUUUUAUUAUUGUCAACAAUUCCCCCAUUUUACAUUUUACGUUUCAAAAGGAUUUAAAUAAUUACCGAUCUCUGUGGACACGACCCUACUCAAUCACUAUACACAAUUUAUUUAGAGUAGGAAUUUAUUUUUGUUGUUAUUUUAAUUGUAUUAAAUAACAUAUCCAAUAGACAUAAAAAUUGAUAAUAGAUUAAAUUUAUUUGGCUUGAAAAGAGAAUUUGAUAAAAAUUUAAAUAGAGGAAUUGGGCAAUGAGGGUAUAUUUGUAAUUUUAUUAACAAUAUAUGGACAAAUUACAUAAUUAACAAUUAAUUUUUUAUGUGUUAGAAGGGUAUAAUGGUAAUUAUAUAUUAAAAUUAUUAUUUCUAUUAAAAGUAACUGUUUCCGUUAGUGAAUGAGAGUGUAAAUAUUUUUUUCGAAACAUUAAGGGUUUUGUCUAAACGUUGAGGGUGUGUUUGUCAUUUUCCCAUAAUAAUAUACUUAAACAAAGUUGUAGUAGGUGAAAUACUAACUAGGCAACCCAAGAUGGGGGGGGGGUGAAUUGGAAUUUUAAAAAUUAUCCUAGGCAAGCCACACAACAAUUUAAUCUAAUGCCUUGAUAAAUUCGAAAACAAUAAAUUUAAUAAAAGCACAAUAAUAAAUGAGUAAGGGAAGAGAAAGCAAACUCAAGGAUUUUUAAGUGGUUCAGCAAUCCCCGCCUACGUCCACGCCUCCAAGCACACCGGGCUUGAGGAUUUCACUAUCCAAGCCUUUCCAAGCCUUCAAACGUUUACAAUUGACUUCAAGGUGUCAAUAAACCUUUACAACAAGAGAUUAUCUCUCCAAUCUCUUCACUCCAAGUGUUUCUCACACUUGUACUCUCACAAUUUGAUGAGAAAUAAAAAAUACAACAAUCAAACUCUCUUUAAGAGUGGAUAUACAAAUUGAAGAACAAAGAUGAUUUAAUGAAUGAUGAUUCACGAAAUUGAAGCUCAAUAUAUGUUGUGUGCACUUGUUUUUGCUUGCUUAGAUUUCCAAAAAUGAAUUGGUUUUGAGUUUAUAUAGUUUGAGCUCAAAAACUAGCCGUUAUGCACAUUUUGGUCGUAACCGGAUUGCCGGUUAUGGACAUCCAGAAUUUCGCUUAAUGUUACCGUUACAGCCACAAUUUUGAAUUUUUGAACAUCCGGAUUGCCGCUUUGUCAAAUCCGGAUUUCCGCUUAUGCUCAGUAGCUUACUGCCCAACAAUCGAAUUUCCGUUUGUCAGGAUCCGGUUAGCCGCUUUCAAUUCGGAUAGAUUCUGCCUAAAAUCCGGACUUUCGUUUGUCAGAAUCCGGAUAGCCGCUUGCUACAGUAACUACUAUAGUGAAAUUUUCCUAAAUUUACAGUGAAACUUUAUAAAACUUUAUAAAAUUGUUAGAAGGGUAUAAUGGUAAUUAUAUAUUAAAAUUUACAAUUUGACCCCAAAAUUUUAUAAAAUUUACAGUUUGACCCUAAAACUUUAUAAAACUAUAGUGUGACCCAAAACGUUAUGAAAUUUUUUAAAAAGGUCCAAUUUCAGAAUUUUAGAAUAAUGCUUUGUCAAUCCCACAACUUUAUGAAAUUAUGACUUCACCCAAACUAUGUGAAAUUAUAGAAUUACCCAAAAUAUUUAAAUAGUUUCAAAUAGGUCCAAAUCUGAAAUUUCAAGCAAUAUUUGUUUAUUUCAAAGUUUUCAAAAUUCUUUCAAUUAAACCAUAAACUUUGAAAAACAACCAAUUUCAUAAAAUCAUUUUUCCAUUAAAUAUGAAACAUUUAUAAUGUGAAAAUAAUGAUUUAUUUAAAAAGAAUAAAAACAAUUAAUUUCAUAAAAUCAUUUUUCCAUUAAAUAUAAAAUAUUUAUAAUGUGAAAAUAAUGAUUUAAAAGAAUAUUAAAUAAUUUGGGCUUAAAAGAUUUAUCAUUCUUAAUCUUGUUUGUUAUCAUCAAAAUCAACAUUAUGAAAACAUAUAUGUUAACGGUAGAGAAUAAACAUAGCAUGCUAAAGCCUAAUAAUAACUAAUAAUGGGAAGGGAUGCAGCCUGCCGUAGCAUGAAAUUGAAAUCAGUCUAAUCAGGCUAAUCAAUAUCUUGUGUGGUAGUCUUUACACCUUCAUUCCAUCUUUUAUUUGCUUACUUUUCCUAUGAAGAAAAAAAAAAAAGGAAAAAAGGCAGAUUUUUAGCUACCAAUCAAAUUCAACACCCCCGGUACCUUUCGAGAGAAGUGGACAUCUUUAACAAUUUGGUGGCUUUUUUUUUAAUAUUUGAAUACACUUAAAGUAAUCUGAAUUAUAAAUAAAGUUCAAUGUCUGAAUUUAAAUAAUAUAUUUUUUAAAAUUGUUAAAAAUAAGUAUUAAAAUAUUUUUAAUUUAAAAAAUCCGAAAACUAUUAUUUUUACAUUUGUGCCCUUAUAAAUGUGAAACAAAUAAUCACACAUAUUAAAGAAUACAAAUAAAAUAAUAUAUUAUGAACACAAAAAAAUCAACUCAAUUGAUUACAAUUCUUUAAUAUUCUUAAUUAGUACAUGUUAAUUGAUUUUAUUGUAAUUUACGAUGUUUUUAUAUUGUUCAUAAAAAUAUAUGAAGAUAAUAAUGCUAAUUUGAAGAAAAAAAAAGAUAAAAUAAUAAUAGUCUAUCAUUACAUCAACACAAGUUAUUGAGAUAGAUAAUAAUGUUAAUUAUUAAAUUUUAUUCAAGUAAGGAAGAAAAUCGAUUAAUUAAAUUGGGAUAUUUCGGAGAAUAUCUUUUAAUGAUUAUCAUUAAGACUUUUUAGAUCAAGCAAAAAGCUAAAAAAAUUAAUUUAAUAACUUAAUGAUUUAAUGACUGAAAAUUUUUGUUAAGUUGAAAAAACAAACGGACUUAAUGAUUUAAUUGAUUGAAUUUACGUUAAUUAAGCCAUUAAGUAAAAAAAAACAAACAGGCCCCUCUUUAGCUUUGCUUUGCGAGUGGUGUUGUUUACAGCACUCAAAAUCUUGAUAAAACCCCUCUUUUAAAUUUACAAUUGUAACCUCAAUGGAAAAUUAUAAAUGACAUUAAAAGACAAAGACAGGAACUCAUCUGUGCUCAAUUCUUCAUAAUCUUCUAUCACAAAUACAUGUACAUUAAUAUUUGGCUAAGAUUUAAUUAGGUUUAUAUUCUUAUCUAAUAACUAUCAAUUAUAUUUCUAAAACAUUAGCAAAAAGUUCAAUUCAAUACUGAAUUUAAAUCCUAUUAUUACGUGUGGCCUUUGCAGUACUUUAUAAGUUUUGGUUGGUCUCUUCAAGAACUAUUACAUAGUUUAUGAUUUUAUCUCUUGUUUGGUUGUUGAUGUUUUUUUAAUUUUGAUAAUACAUGUAACUUGCAAGUAGUUUGAGGUUUUUUUUUUUUUUUUUUUCAUUUGCACAAUGAUCUAAAAGAAUAAAAAAAUGAAAAAGGUCAAGAGGAAAGUUAGGUAUCCCAAUAUUCAUGUCCUAAAGUAAGUCUCAACUAAUAUAAUGUUCAUCCAUUGAAUGAUAGUUAAAUAAAUUUAGAAGUUAUGAAUUAUAUUAUUUAAUAAAUGAGUGACACAUGAUAUUUGGAUUUAAGUUGAGAUUCAAAUAUUGGGAUAUCUAAUAUUAUUGAAAACUUAAUACAGUAACACUGGCCAAGUUUGAAUAUUCAUCACACCCAAGUAACAGACAAAUUGAAUACAUACCUCAAGAAGAUCCAACAAUAAUACAUGUCAUGCUCUUAUUUUAUCAUAAGUGGCUAGUAUAAUUAAUGAAAGUAGCAGUGUACCAUACUUUCUGAUUUCUCAAUCUUGAUUCUUCUUCCAUACAGCCGGCUUGUCAGAAGGAUAAGGGAAAUUUUUCAGAUUGAAGCAACGACUAACCUCUGCAUAACGUAGUAUAGGCAUAUCCUUCAGCAAAACAUUCCAAUCAAGAAUUAAGUUUGGCAUGAACUUUAAACAUAGACCCUCAAGGACCCAUGUGGUGCCAUUGCUAUCCUGAUCAGAUUCAGAACUGCUUUCGAAGUUGCUGAUGUCUCCAUCCUCAAGACAGAGAUAUUGCAGGCUUGAGAGGUGCUUAAGAUUAAUCCAUUUUGGCAGAAUUUCGUGGCGGUAUCGCCUGAGGUAAAGCUCCUGAAGGCUCGGAGGAGGCAAAAGCCUAUCCAACAUCUGUGAUACAUGUUUUUCUUUGCAAUCCUCUGCAUCAAUAGCUAAAAUUUUGAGUUUCUCGAGCUGUGAUAAGACAUUCCAUUCAUCUUCCGAGAUUUCACUCUCAUUAUUUAUGGACAUUCGUAGAACUCUUAGCUGCUUCAGUCCCAGCAGGGCGUUAAGUCGACAGCCUUGUGUGUUAGACUGACUCGCCACCCGAAAUCCAGACAGCUCCUGGAGAUAAAUUAGCUUCUCGAGUCCACGAGGUAGAUACUGGAGAGGACAAGAUCCGAGGUCCAAGAUGAUCAACUUCUUCAAACUAGUAAUUGAUGGAUGUAGUUUGGUGCACCUCCUCAGAACAAGUAUUUGGAGAUUACGAAGCUUUUGAAUUGAAGAUGGGAGCUC
rnacentral:lncRNA from 1 species